rnacentral:lncRNA from 1 species
CCGGCUACUAUGCUAUUAAUAGCAUAAAGCACUUGGUGCUACCAAAUUUUCCGCCGUUAGAUCUACCCUUUUGAUCAUUUUCAUCCGUUAGAUCAUACUAUUCAACCAACCAUCCACUUAACCCUAGGGGGCCCACAUCAGCCUAACCGCAUAUCUCUUAAUCCAAUGGUCAAAAACUUUGUAGCACCAGUGCUAUUAAUAGUAUAUUAGCCUAGUUAUAUAUAUACAUAUAUAUAUAUAUAGUAGGGCUGCUGUGCUCUCAGAAGCACGGAGGCCUCCGUGCUCCUGAGCCGUUUUCGAUGAUGGAAUUUCCGAAUCGACGAUCGGCUCCGUUAGACUUGAUCUAGCGUAUUUGAAGUUUCUAGAAAAUAAUUUCUACGAUUUUUUGAUAUCAUUUACCUAGCAAUCGAAAGGAUUCAAAAUCAAUAAUUUUUAAUGGCUGAAAAUAAAAAUCCUAUAAAAAGUGGUGAUAUACACUAAAAUUUUCGAUCAGAAAUGUUAAUAUUGUUGUAGAUAGUAUAAAAAAUUUUGUAUCAAAAUUUCAUCUGAUUUGAAUACUUCUAUACCGUUAAACUUGAAAACGGCAGAUAUCAACCAUUAAAAAUUAUUGAUUUUGAAUCCUUUCGAUCACUAGGUAAAUGAUAUUAAAAAAUCGCAAAAAUUAUUUUCUAAAAACUUCAAAUACCCUAAAUCAAGUCUAAUGGAGCCGAUCGUCGAUUCGAAAAUUUCAUCAUCAAAAACGACUCAGGAGCACGGAGGCCUGCGUGCUCCUGAGAGCAUAGCAGCUCUACUCUCUCUCUCUCUCUCUCUCUCUCUAUAUAUAUAUAUAUAGAGUCCCGCUAUAGUAUUUUUAAAAGCACAAAACACUCUAUCUAAAGUGAUAUUUUUUUAAAAAACUAUAAAAAUAGUACUCCAUCUAACGAUAGAUCCUUAUAGUAAAAUAAAAAUAAAAUUAUAUAAUAAUAAUUAAGUAUAAUUUUUAAGUCACAGAGUGAUAAAGUAAAAAUAGGUUAAAUUAUAGAAUAGUUGAGUGCAACUUUUUGAAAUGUACUAAUAAAAUAAAAAUAUGCUAAACCAUAGUAAAAUAAAUUAAAUUUAUCUCAUAAAUUACUGCUGUUUUUGAGGACUCAAACUACUUUUUUGUUUUUUUUUUUCUUUGAAAAGGAGGAUCUUUGUCGACAAUUUGGACAGAACAAAAGGCAAAGGAGCUUUUUCUUCUUUUCUUUCCUUCCUUUUCUUUGUCCAAAAAGAGAAGGAAGUCAGUAGACAUUUCCAAUAUUGAUGGAAAUAAAUUGCUAUCUGGAUCCUGUGUAAACGCACAUUUCACUUAAGUUUGAGUAAUUAAUACAUCAUAAUUAAAAUCUAAUUUAAUAAAUAUAAUCUGAAUCAUCUAAAGAUUCUUUAUAUUUCUAGGCAUCGAAUAAUUCGAAACACCAUCUUUAGAGGAGAAGUGAUUGCUUGAUCUAUGAAAAAUCGAUAUUCAAUAUUUAUAAAUUUUUAACGUAGAACUAUUAUUAUAAAUAUUAGGGUAAACUUCAAAUAUCACUUCUGUGAUUUCGCACUUUCUCAUUUUAAUAUUUUGUGGUUUAAAGUUUAUUAAUUUAGUACCAUAUGGUUUCAUUUUCUCUUUUUGUCAGCUCCUCCGUUAAUAUUUUAUUAAAUUAUAUACAAAAAAACUUCAGACACCCUACCUAGCUUUAUUGAAUAUUCAUUUUAGUACCUUUUAGUUUUAACUUUGUCACUGAUUUAACGAAAAAAAAUUAAUAGAGGGUAUAAUAAAAUGAAAAAAAUAAAAUCACGGGAUACUAAAUUGAUACACUUCAAAUCAAAGGGUACUAAAAUAAAAUAGUACAAAAAUACAGAGGUGGUAUUUGUAGUUUUUUCUAAAUAUUAUACAAAAUAUUCAAUAACUUACAAAAUUUGGAUUUUAUAUUACAGUGAGAGACAAAUUCCAAUACAGCGGAUAACGAAAGGAUAAUCAAAUUCAAAUCUGUAUCUGUCAGAGAGAUCUAUUACAGAAUUUUACGCGCUCGGUGUAUGAAAUAUACUUGUACACCCGGUUCACGGAACAAUUUCUCGGGACCACAAACUGAGUGGGUUGCGUUGACCAGCGGACGCUUCGGCUCAUCAACUCUUCAACCGCAGCGACUGCCACGUCACCACCCAUUGAAAAUUGUUCCGUGGACCACGCUCACCACGUCAUCAGCAGGAGAUUCUAGAUGGACCGUAGAUCCCGCGGCGGCCCACGGAUGACGUGGUGGACCACGCGGGUUAAAAUUUUAAUUUCUGAAUAUUUUACCUCUUUGAAGUAUUUUGGCUUUUUAUUUUUUUACUGCAAAAAUUUCUCCUUAAAAUUAUAUGCCUACGACUUUUUCAGUGUUAAAAAAAGUAUUUGAAAAAGUUAAUCCUGAUCUUUGAAAAUAUUUUAAAAUUUUUCUGAUAAAAUAACAGUUUAAUUCUUUUGUAAUUAAAAUUUAUUUCUUAUGUAUAUUUAACAAGCUAGAAAUAGAGUGCGAAAUUGAUAAAAUUGUGCCACCUCUAUUAAUAAUUCAUUAUCUUAAUUAAUUUUCUCUCAUUUCAUGUAACUAAAAUUCUUAUUAUAAAUAUUUUUUUAUUUAUUUCCCAAAAAAAUUGCAAAUAAUUUUUAUUAAAAAAGGAUAAACUUCAAUUUACCCUUUUUGUAUUUUAGCUCGUCUUACUUUACCAUUCUAUGAUUGAGAAAAUUGUUCUUAUUAGCUUUUAUGUGAUUUAUCUUUUUUUUAUUUAUCGAAAAAAUCUACCUUCAAAUGAGAUAAUAAAGUAAAUUUUUUGAUAAUUACAGAAUAAUUAACUAUAAUUUUUGAAUCAUUCAACGGUAAAAUAAAAAUAAGCUAGACCACAGAAUCGUUAAAUAUAUAUAUAUAUAUAUUUUUUGAAUUAUAAUAGUAUAUAUAAAAAUUAAAAAUUAAAAUUUGUAAUGAAAAAUACGGAGACCGAAACCCGAAAUGUUGGAAAAGUAUGGGCGAAAAGGACAACCAAUGUUACCCGAAACGAAAUUAGAUAGAAAUUAGGUAAAUUGCAAGAUCGGUCCUCAAACUAUAGCCAUCGUGACUCUUUGGUUCUUAAAUUUUAAUUUAUUAUAAUUUUUAUUACAAUCAAAUUCAUAAUUAAUUUAGUUUAUUAAAUAGAUACAUUAUUGAUGUAAAAAUUAUUAUCAAAUCAUCAAUUAUAAUAUUUUCAUAUUAUUUAUGCAUUAAUAAUUAUUUAUUAAUAUUUAGUGAACUAAAAUGCGUAAUAAUUCUGAAAAUUCGAGGCAUAAAUGGUAAUAAAUUGAAAAUUGAGGAACAAAUGUCACGGAGUCAUAGUUUGAGGGCCAAAGUGCAAUUUACCCCCGAAAUUAAAUUAAAUUAAAAUUAAAAGGAGUUGGGAAGCAUUAAAUAACCGAAUCCACAGCGGCUCCCUCUCUCUCUCUCUCUCUCUCUCUCUCUCUCUCUCUCUCUUUCUCUUUCUCGUAGCUGAGCUCCUCUCUCUCUCCUCUCUUUCUCUCUCUUCUUUCUCUCUCUACCGACUCCUUUUCCUUUCCCUAAUUCGGAAAUCGAUCGCAGAGAGGAGAGGGAGAGAGAGAGAGUGUGGAUCUCCUCGCCUCGCCUCGCCUCGCCUCGCCUCGCCAUGUCCCUUGACCAGGUCGAGAAACAGGUACUAUGUGCGAAUUGAGAUCGUUCGAUUUGGUUUGGUUGAUGAGGAGAUUGUGAUUUGGUCCUAGGGUUUUGGAUCCAGAUCGGUUCCUCUAAUCGUUGUCAUUUUUCGGGUGUAAUUUGGGUUGAUUUGUAAAUUUGAUUGAAAUUGUAGCUCGAUUUUAGAUUGGUUUAGUUCUCUAGUUCAUAAUUGCGAGGGUUUUACUAGCGGAACCGACAGAAGCGAAGGUGGAAAAACCAACUACUCUUGCGUCGUUUACUAUCAAAUUUGAUAUUUUGGGUAACAUGGUUUCUCCUAUUUGAAAAUUUUGAUAGGAAAUGACUUAGAAAUAUGCUUAACUUUCCUGCUCAGAUGUAUACUAGAUAUGAAAAGUACGUGGAAUUGAUGGAUCUGCAAAAAGAUUGAUUUGGUAGGAAAGGAUGGAGCUUUAUAGCCGUAAGCCCCUUCGGUCCAAGAGGUUUUGGGUUUAAUUCCUCACAUUCACCAUCCUUUACUGGCUCCAUCGCCUAUUGUGUUAGUGCAUGUUGCAUGGUCAGCCUGAUCAGUACCAUGCAAGCAAGUGGAGUAGUAAAAUAGUGGUGAUUUUUUCUCUAGGAAAUCGUGAGUUGAUUCCGUUUUAUGAAUUUGUUAGUUAAGUUUGUUGCAAUAUGUUGUAGAGAUUUGUUCGAUAUGACGACAAAACAUGCUACGGUUUAGUUUUAAUAAGAUCAACGUGAAGUGAUUGCUGGUCGCCUUAGCUUUACACUGAAAACAAAAAAGACAAUGCCUUCCUCUUCAUAAGCAUCAGAUCAAGUAACAGGUCGGUGCACUAGAAAAUUUUAGUUAAAUAUACUACUGAUUUGACCGGAGCGGUGCGCCACAACACAAUGCAGAAAGGCCAAGUACAUAGAGCUAACCAAAUAAGUUUGGGGCCAGUUGGAAAAGUUUAUUUAUAAGUGGCGUAUUCUUGUCUGGUCAAAAAAGAUAAUUUUUUCAUCCUUAACCCAGUCUUUUUGGCCUUGAAGAGUAAAGUGAGGGCAAUUUUGGAAUAUCAAUCAGAAUCACUUCUUCAAGUAAUUAAGAAGUGUUAUCAAAUGAUUUCCUCCCAUUCCUCCAUUUAGAGUAAAGAAAAAGCUCUGUUUCAGAUCCGAGUAAUCUUCAUACUUGGACCUGUAAUUGUAAGGAAAAUUGGCUAGUUAUUAAAGGAGGUUGCAGAAGAGUAAAAAGAUAAGAAGUAGGUUACUUCUUUUUUUUUUCAAUAUAAUUCUCGUACCACAUUAUGUAACAGUCUUCUCAAAAAACUACUUUGUUGGCAAUACAGCAUAAAAUAAACAUGUAACAAAAGGUGAAAGGGAAACUACUGUGUACUUUAAGGAGGACUGAUUUUAGCUUAUUUGAUAACUUGCCUGUCUAAAUAACAAAUUUGAUUGUGACAGGCUUCUGAUAAUAAACUGAGCAUUGAUGUGUCUCGCCCACGUGUGACAGAAAAUGGAUUUCUUGCUCCUUUUACAUCAUUCGAAUCAGAAAAGGCGAUUCAUGAAUACAUCUCUCAGACACCUGUCAGGUCUACAGAUGAUCACCUAGUUGAGUUCUCAGAGGCUAUGAGAAGUAAGAAGAUUUCUUUAUUUCCUUUACCUAGUGUGAGUGAUUUCCUUUUUCAGUAUAGACUGAUUCUUUACUUUGCAAGCCAAUGAUGUCAAACUUGAAUAUAUGUUUGAAGAUGUACUGGAACCAGAAUUAAUAUGAUGUUUGAAAUUUUUAGUACUAAAUACUGAUAACCUAUUUGGCAGAUAGGUCAAGCAACUAGAAUUGUCGAUCUCAACUGUCUUAAAUUUUUCCAUAUGUAAAAGAACUUUCAAAUCUUGGGUCUUCAAAAUUGAUGACGAGUGAUAUUCUUUUUAUUUAUUUUUUUAAAAUCUUGCGAUUCUAGGUCAGAGAACAUCUUUACUUUUGUUUAUACUCCACAAUAUAAAAAAGAAGCACAUUGCAUACUGUGGAUGUUGCUUCUCUCUUUCAAUGAACAUAACCUAGAUUCAGCAAUUCAUAGAACUCCUCAAUUUGCCCUUUUUUUCCUUCUAAAUUCAAGUAUCAAGGCCUAAUGUUGUUGAAGGUGGCUGAGAUUUUGAGUAUAAGAUUGAGUAGUUUCUUUAUUUACAGUUUCACUAUAAUAUUGUCCAUCUAUACUAGAUGGAACUUUGAAUUUUUGACCAUAUAUUCCUUUAUUUUGAAUGUAUGAUUUUCUUAGUGAGAUGUUUAUUAAUGUGAUAAAUUAUAACUUUUCUCAAUGCUGCAACUGUAAGCUGUUGCGAAGGCGUUACGACGGGUUGCAGAAGGAAAAGCUGCUGCUCAAGCAGAAGCAGCAGAAUGGAAGCGAAAAUAUGAAUUGGAGAGGGCACGCAAUCAGCGGUACAAAAGUGAAGGUUACUUAUCUAAUUCUUGCACCACAUAUUCGUUGCUAAGCAUUUUUAUGCUGUCUUCUUUAGUAAAAGUUUGCUAGAUUUUUUGCUUACACUACAUAUGAAAGAAGAUGAUUGGCUUCUUGGGGGAGUUCUUGAUGCCUCAACCACAAAAUAUAGUUAAUAAAGGGAUAUAGGGGAAGUGUUAACAGUUCAGCUGCUUUAAAUCCACUUAUGAAACUUGCCUAAAAAUGCCUAAAGAUGGUGGCAUUACCAUUUAGUCAAGUAAAUCAUUACCAAAUGGAUGGCCAAGCCUCCUUUCCAGUUUGGUACUUUUGAGCAAUAAUAUGUCAAUAAGAAAGAAUUAUAAUAUCUGGAAAUUUCUAUACAAAGAGAACCUUUUGAUUGGCUGAUAGAGAAUCAAAGGAGUGGUUCAAAGUUUAAUGGAGUUCUUCUUUUGAUUCAUGAUGAAUUAUUUAACAACUGUUUCAAUUGUAAAAUUCUGUGAGUAAUAUUAUGCAGUAUUUAUAAGUAGCCAAUAUAUUAGAUCUCAAAAUUGAUGCGGAGUAACUUAACUCGUUUAAGUCCUCUUUCUGCAUCUAUGCUUAGAAGUAAUGUAUAAUACCAACAUAUGAAGUGACAUGUUCUAUGCUUAGAAGGUCCAUCUUGAGCAUUAUUAUCCUGAUGCGUGUUAAAAGAGGCAUUGUUUUGCUUACGCCAUAGAGCUAAGCCCUUUUCUUUUUAUGUUGUUUACCUGAUAUUGAACUAAUUUCCUGAAUUGUAGAAGUAGCAUCUGAAGGUUGUUCUUGUUGUUCGGCGAGCUCGUCCCGUCAAUUAGUGGUGCAUACUGAAACGGAGCAAGCCAAGUGUUGUGGAAAUCAUGGCAUUUGUUCACAUGAGGUUCUUGCGGAUGAAGUUGCAAAUCCCAAUUCUGACCCAGCUUGCAAGAUGGUGGCAAGAAAGGUAAGGCCAGCACGUUUAACUAAGUGGCAUAUUUAUAUUUGGGAUUUGGUGUGCAAUUUCUGGUAGAAAUAUCCACAGAUUUUCAAGGAUUGGAUGGAUAAAAAUAUGCCUGGACCAAGAACCGAGAUCAAAUAUAUAUAUACCUGUGUCCAUUUAGUUCCAGUUGUCUAUUUUCUGAUAAAAUAAAAGGGCCCAUCCUCACUAUACUGGAGAAAGUAACUGACAUUUUGAUCAACUAGUUUCUGUAAAAAUUUGUUGUGCCACAAAAGUGAGGCAUGUGAUUGAUUGCUGACGAAAUCCAUGUCACAGCAUGCCUCAUGUGUCGCCUCAAAACACAAUCACCUCAUGUGUCGCCUCAAAACACAAUCAUUUUAUUAUGUUAUUUUGCCACUAAAAUAUCUGUUGCAAGAUGCCUUUUUUUGAAAAAAAAAAAAAAUAAAAAAAUAAAAACACCGUAAGAUACGACAUAAAGCAUCCCAAUCUCAUCUAAUAGUGGAAAACAUUGAGGAAUUUUGUUCUGCCAAAUUUCAGCGAGUUACUGUAAGUUAUGACACUGUUUCUCGUUCCAGGCGUCAUUUAAACUUUCGUGGGGAUGCAAUGGAAACAAAAGUGGGCAGCACAAACAUGAAGUUGUAUCCUUUGAGAAAGGAGACAUUACAACAGCAGAACGCAGCAGUAAGCAGGUAAUUAUUCUCUUUAUAUUUUGAUCAUCACCAUUGACUAUAUUAUUACCUUGCAGCUUCUCUGUUUUGCCUGUAAAUGGUUGAAAAUGCCUUCUGGAUUCAGGCAAGAAACUUGCUGCUUGUGUUCUCUCCUUAUUAGUGCUUACUUUGUCUGAACUGUCUAUUCUCAGAUCUUACUAAAGUGGGAAUCUCCGCCAAAAACUGUGUUUAUUGUGGCUAAACCAAACUCUACUUCUGUUCAUGCUCUUUGUGUUGAAAUGAUCAGGUGUGCUUUAAAGCUGUUUAUCUUUAUUACCUGAAUCUGUUUCAAUUUCUAUGAUUGUUAUCCUCAUUGUAGGAUUCUUUACUAUGUGCUUGUUGCUGAGAUUUUAGUUAGUAAUUAUAGACACCAUGAUGAGCCUUCACUUCAAAUAAAGCAUGCAAUUAUACAUGACAAUAUUCGGAUGCCAUUUAUUCUGAAUUUAAUUAGCCUAUUGAUAGGUUAUUCGGAUCAUAGAUAACUAGAUCAUUUUUUUGAAGAUUUAUUCAAAUUCAAACUGACUCCAUAAAUCUUCAAGAGUUCAAUUUAAUUGUUUCAAAUGGAUCUGAUACCAAAACUAUUAGCCUAAUAUGACUUACGUCAACUAAAUAACCAACUUGAACUGAAAAUAACGUAAGUCAUGUUUUAAACAGUAUCCAAACUCAAAUAAACUCCAAAUAUGAGUCAAAUUGACCCAGAAUUUGGCCCAAAUACAUAGAAAGCGACAAGAAAGAUUAAAUUAACUUGUCCUAACCUAUUCUGUGCUGACCAUCCUUCAUCAUUAUUCCUACUGUGUACGAUCUCACUUUGGUGAUUGUGAUGUUCAGUAGGAGGGAGUGAGACUCUAUUGUUCUAUGUCACUUCUCCAUUGAAACUUGCUUAUAGUACUUCAAAAUAUAUGUAUCACAUGGUCAGCUAUAAUUUGCUUCAUUUCUUUCCUGCAGAUGGCUAAAAGAGCAUAAGAAGAUAGAUGUUUUAGUAGAGCCCCGAGUGAGGGAGGAACUUCUGAAAGAGUCUUUCUACUUUGACUUUGUCCAGACAUGGCAAGAUGGUAAGCGGGACAAUCUUAUUAAUUAAUAACUAUCAGUGUUACUUCGGUAUCACAUUUACGUUAUUUUAUAGAGCCAAUUACAAGAUAUAUAAAACUUUACUGGUUUAUAAUGGAUUAGGCAUUUCUUGUCAGGUGGAUUUGUCAUCAAAAUUGGUACAAAACCUCACAAUCAAGAGCUAUUUUACUUGUUACAUUCUUGAUCAAUGUAAAUAUGAUAAUAUUUCACCUUUGGUUGAUAUGGUAAUCGCAAAACAUAAUGCCUUGAUAAACCUAAUCCUAUAACUAUUAUGAUGUAGAAUAAAUGGAAAUAGGGGGCAAGAUGAAUCACUUAUUAUUAUUAUUUUUUUCAAAGAUACACCUUUUAUUAUUUCAGAUAUAACAGUCUAUGUAGCAAUUCUAAAAUGCCAACAUCAAUUGCCAUCGUGGUGUCACUAUUGAUGAUUGUUGAAUUGUUACGUCUCUUUCUGCAGUAGACCUGAUUCUUAACUUCUAUUUUGUGCUAUGAUGUUGGAAGAUGUCUGACUCUAGUUAUAUAAAGUAUUGCAACAAAUGAUUUCUGAGUCAAAUACUCACGUGAAAGUAAACCAAUUUUGUGUUGAUCUUGGAUUCUAAGUUGCUCAAGGAUGCUUUAUCAAAAAAAAAAAAGGCUCACGGAAAAUUUCUUUUCCUCAGAAUUUAUUGAAUACCCUGUUAUAAGUUUUAUCCUUAAUAUGACCUCUUACUCUCUAGCUACUAUUGACACUUGAAUUGUUUAGAGUGCUUUUUUAUUUCCUUCACUAACUAUAGUAAUUCGUGACAGAUGAGGAAAUAAAGCACUUGCACACAAAGGUGGAUCUCGUUAUAACUCUUGGUGGAGAUGGAACAGUUCUUUGGGUAUGCAACUCAAAUGCUUUGACAAGACUUACGUAGUACAUUUUGUUCUAUAAUUUAUUUCUUUUUUCACAUUCUUUGUAUGUGAUAUAAUUUAAGAACCUCAUGGAUUUUAUAUUUGCGUAGGAUUUUAGGAAUACUAUUGUUGUUUUCUUUUCCAAAUCAAUAUCCUAGACUUUUAAAUUAUCAAUGAUGGAGAGAUCAUAUCUGAGAAGGCAUGGUCGAGAAGUAACAUUCAGAUUUUUUUUUUUUUAACUAUAAUUGGAAACAACAUGUUAUUUCUGUUAGUCCUUACUUUCUCUUUGAUAUUCGAAUUUCAUUUGCCUCAUGGUUGUUAUCUUCUGGGAGCGCCUUUCUUGAUAUAGCUUACUUGAGUUUCUAUUGAGAUAUAAGCAUAUUAUGUGCAUCAAUCCCAAGGACCUAAGAAAUUUCUAAUUUGUUAUUACUUAUAACACUUGAUACUCUUUUGGUUUUUCCAUUCAGUUCGUUUCUGCACCAAGGAGAAUGCCACGUUCUUUAAAUUCAAAAUAUUGCUUGUCAGUAUACACUUGUUAAUUUAAAUUUCAACCAAUAAGAAGAAAGCACACUCUUCUUCUCUGUGUACACUUUUCAAAUAGUUCCAGGCUGCAAAUAGGAAACAUCUAGUAAUUAAUCUGGACAUCUAUUAUGCAUAUUCAGUGUUGUGUUUCCUUCUGCUUUCAUCUUCUUUUUUCAGUCUUUGUGUCAACUUAAGCAAGCUGCAUUUGUUUCCAAGCUAUAUUUUUAUGAAAGAGGAAAUUGGGUUACUGAUGUAGUUUUUCUUUUCUAUUAUACAGGCAGCAUCGUUGUUUAAAGGACCGGUGCCUCCUGUUGUUCCAUUCUCCCUAGGAUCGCUGGGCUUCCUCACUCCUUUCCGUAUCCUCAUAUUAUCGUUCCUACAAUUGUCAAUUUCAAUAUUGUUGUUUAACCAUACUUUCUACCAUUAUCUUUAACAUAUCAUUCAGAAAGUGAGCACUAUCGAGAAAGCUUGGAAGCUAUAUUGAAGGGGCCAUUUAGCAUCACAUUGCGCCAUCGACUACAGUGCCAUGUUGUCCGAGAUUCAGCGAAGGAUGAAUUGGAGUUUGAGGAGCCAAUUCUAGUACUGAAUGAAGUUACCAUCGAUCGUGGGAUAUCAUCUUAUCUCACUUAUCUUGAGUGUUACUGUGACAGCUCCUUUGUUACAUGCGUACAAGGGGAUGGUUUAAUAAUUUCAACAACAUCUGGUAGCACAGCAUACUCACUAGCAGCUGGAGGAUCGAUGGUUCAUCCACAGGCAUGCCAUGCUUUCAUCUUUACCCUCCUAUUUAUGCUUAUGAGUUUGUCGUUAUUUCCACUUUUUUAGAAGGUCUAUGAUAAUCAGUUAAGAGAGGAACAACAAUUAUGGACACAGUUUGGCAGAAUUAGAUGAAUAAGGUGUCCUACUCGUCUCUUAUGCCCCAACCAAACAUUGUCUAAGAGAAAAGGCAGUUGUACUCUGUUAUAAGCGACAUUAUUCUGACUUCUCAUCAGGCACGUCUUGUAUAUAUUAAAAUUUUAGCUAUACCCUGAAACUGAUAGGGUCGUAGAGGAACCACAUAUGGUUAAGAAUUCCAGUUGUGUUUAUGUUAAAUAUUCGUGAAGAGAAAAGGUAAACCUUGAUAUCUUUUUCUGUGUAAUAUUUCUUCACAAUUUAAGCUCUACUAUACUGCUAACUGCAGGUCCCUGCAAUACUGUUCACACCAAUUUGCCCACACUCACUCUCAUUCAGGCCUCUGAUACUUCCGGAGUACGUAGCCCUACGCGUACAAGUGCCAUUCAACAGCAGAGGGCAAGCAUGGGCCUCAUUCGACGGCAAGGACAGGAAGCAGCUGUCAGCAGGAGACGCCCUUAUCUGCAGCAUGGCCCCUUGGCCUGUGCCCACGGCCUGCCUGGUUGACUCGACCACCGACUUCCUACGCAGCAUCCACGAGGGCCUCCACUGGAACCUCAGGAAAACCCAAUCUUUUGAUGGUCCCCGUGAUUGACUUUAUGUCUGAUCAAUCGACUAUCUACUUCAUUGAGGUGGAUCUCAUGCAAUCAACCACCUGGCUUCGAAGUUUGAAGCAUUUUUAUCAUGAGGGUAAAAAUGUAUGGAGAUCCCUCAAAUAUAAGCCGUUCGGAAAUAGAACCCCAAGCUUUAUUUUUUCUCGACUAAUACCUGCUCAUCUUUUGCUAGUUUUGAUUAUAGUCAUUUCAGUUAAAGUCGAAUUAGGGUUUCUGUUAAAAUUUAAUGGCAAUUCUGUUAAGUUUAUUGGCCCUGCCUGCUUUUUAGCUAACUGAUCUGUGCAUUCAGUUACAGUUAAGUGCUGAUAAUUAACUUUGACAGAAACCCGAAUUCAACUCAAAACAGACAAAAUUUUAGGGGUGUCAAUCGAAAAUAAUAAAGCUUUGGGUUCUAUUUAAAUUGGUCUAUAGUUGAAGAUGUCUCUAUAUAUUUCAAUUAUCUGGAUUUAUUGAGCAGUAAGCAGGAAUUACUUGUAUUAUUAUUUUACAGCAAUUAUGUGUAGAAAAUGCUAGUGUAAAGUACACAUCGGUAUUUACACAAACCAAGGAAUUAGCCGAUUGCUAGCCGCGAACAUGUGGGAGAGUAUAGUGACAUUAUAUAAGUGUAAAGACAUCAAUGUGAAAUCUGUUGUUUCAGCUUUGCAAGAGAGAAAGUUAAUGUAAAGCCUCGAACAGUGAAAACAUCAAGAACAAUGUGUUCAAUAGUUGAAAGUAGACACUGAUGUUUCCCUUCUUGUCCAAGUUAUUACAUAUAACGGUGUUCAGUAGUUACGUGUCUAAGUCAUUUAGCGAGGAUAACAUCUUCCUCUCAUAUUUAUCUUGCAAUCUUUGAACAACCUAGAAGGUAUUUUUGGUUAUGCAGUCAUGCGGGUAACUGUGAUGAUUUCGUGAAACUGUUAUGACUCGACGUUACCAGUGUGAUGUUUUACUGAAAACUUGGGAUAACAUGCAGGAUAUGACACUGUUUUAGGAACUGGUUCAAAUUGCUUCUUGUUGUACUUCAUGCUUCUUUUUUUAGUUUUUCUUUUUUUUUUUUUGUUGGGUCAGCCCCAUAUGAUUUACAUCAGAAUUACAGGAAGAAGAUCCUGAAUUCAUAAAUUCAAGUGUAAAUUAAAAAAUCUAUUAAAAAAGAAGACACAUAAGUAUGAUUCUUGUCUAAUUGAUUUGAUUUCUGUAAACAUAAGUACCCAUCAACACAACAUUAAUAAAGAAUCAUCCAAAACAUGUACAAAGACAUCCAUUCAGAGCUCUGUUUGGUGCCUCUCAAUAUUCAUCUGCAGAGGAAGACGGCUUCGCAGCCAUUUCACAGUUAGUUAUUCGCAGGUGAAGUGAGGGUUCGUCGAAACCGCAACUUCGUCACUUUAACUUACUUUCAUCAGACCAAAUAUCAGAACUUACAUUUUUGCCGAAACUUAUUUCUCCUCUCCCUUAUAUCAAAUCAAAUAUGAUGGUUACCGUCCAAAUACUCCCGCCACCUUUUUAUGCCACUUUAUACCACUUUCGUCAAACCAAACAACAGAACUCUCCGCUUUCACCGGAACUUAUUUUCUGCUCUCCCGCGAAGCUCAGAACCCCCUCCCCUGCUUGAAGAAACCCUCACAGGAGUGCUAAAAAUAGGCCUCUGCUUCAACCCCUCACUACUCCGCCGAACAGCAACCAUCAUCCUUGUUCUCAGUGGAGACACCAACCGACUCGCCAGCUUCGACGGCGAGAACGAGCACCGCCGGGCCCGCAGCGGGGGCGAUCUGAGGGCCGCUGCGGGGACCGCCUUCUUCGACGCGAGAUGCGACUGCAGCGACUUCCCCGGCGGCGACUUGAUCGCAAACUUAUGAGGUGUUUGUUGAAAUUCCUUCUUCCUCCUAGCAGCCGCAGUGGUGCCAAUGAUGGGGGACCUGGUCUUGUAGAACCUCUGCUUGUGUGAUGACGAGGAGGGGGAAGUAGAAGAGUUGGGGAGGAAGAGAGGGUUGGGGAAGAGCACCGCCUUCCGCGCCCACGGCCGGUUUCUCGGCGAGACCCGGUUCGCAGCUACAGACGGCCGCGGGGGGGAGUCUGGCUUGAACCGGAUGCGGACCCGGGCGCGGUGGAGGGGCGGGGAGGAGCCCCCGGCGGCGGAGGACUCCGAUCGGGCGGCCCGGCGGAGGGAUUGCUUCUCCCUCAUCCGCCGAGACCGGAGGGGGGUCGACUCGGCCGGCGGAUUGCAGCUGCUCCUUUUCUUCGUGUGAGGGGUUUUCGGGUCGCCGCCUGCGACCUUCGUUGCUGCGGCGACAGCGGCGGCGGCGACGACUUUUUUCGCAAAUUCGGUGGCUUGUAGGAUCUCCACCACAGUCUCUCCUAUUAGCAUGGCAGGUAGGGACAUUCGGCGCCACUCCCCUGAGUUUGAAUUUUUAUUAUAAUAAUAAUAAUUUCUUAAAAAAAAAAAAUCAGGGGGCGCUUGAUUCGGUGUAAAUCAAAUCCAAAAAUUAUUUUUCGUACGAAAAAUAUUUUAUCGCUUGUUGAGUUCAACAUAAAAAUAUUUUUCCGUAAAUCAUUUUUUUUGAUCAACCAAACAAACAUAAAUUUUUUUUCUUUCAUCUAAACAAAUAUUAAUGAAAAACUAUUUUUGUCCUACGAACUAAAAAUAUUAAAAUGUAAAAAAUUAGGAAAAGUUCUUUUUUAUGAUUUUACGCUGAACCAAACAAGCGGACUCUUAAUGAAAACAAGAAAGAAAAUUGGGUCUAAUAAAAAUUGGAAAAUUAGGAAUUAUGGGUAGUAGUACCGUUAAUUGAGCAUUGGAAUUUCCCGGGUGGGGAUUUCUUAGCGGAUGCGGAUGUGGUGGUCCUCAUCCUGAUUAGUCAGUAAUAAUAAUAAACAAAAAUUAGUGGUAGUAAUUGGGGAAAAAGAAUAUGGAACUUUGGUGUAUAAAAUAAAAUUAACUCUUUGACUUAAUUUAAUAUACUCGAUCAAGUAGAAGAUUAUGAUUAUAAUUCAAAUCAAAACGAACAAAAGUUGAAAAAAAUUAAAAAAAAUUAUCAACAAAAAAGGGAAAAAAAAAAAGAAGAAGGAAAAUAAAAUUAACCUCAGGGUUUCCUGCUUGCAGCGGAGGCUGGUCCGGAGGUAUCCGCGGGUGCUGCGGGGGCUGAGGUUGACGCCGGCGACGACUUUGGCCCCGCCUGCGACCGUGUACUGGAGCUCCUGCAGCCGCGCCACGCACCGAUCCACCUUCAUCGAUAGUGUACACAACAACAGCGACAACGACGAUGACGACAACAUCAAUAACAUUAGAAGAGUAAGAAAGAAAAAAAAUGAUUUUGAUUCUGAUUCGAUAAAUAUUGAUUGGAAGUGUUGCAUUUUGAUUAAAAGUGUUAAAAAAAAAAUUGAAUGGAGUCCUUACCUUUUUCAGUGUCUCUCUGACGAGAUUCGGAUUGAGAGCGGCCGCGGCCGCGGCCGCGGCGAUUCGCUUCGCCUUCGUCGGAGUCUUCGCCACCAUCUUCGACUCCUCUCUCUCUCUCUCUCUCUCUCUCUCUCUCUGUAUCUGUGUCUCUUGCUGUAUGUAUGGGAUCUACCUACUAAAGGAGGAGGGGGAGGGUUUGGAGAGUUUGAACUGGGAAACGUACGUGGGGUUGUAACGGUCACUUUGAAAUCUACGAGAGGCAACGGCUACUUCUCUUUUUUUCCUUUCUUUGACUUAAAUAACGUUUUGCUUUGUCUCCCAUAUGUGACACCUGUACAAAAAAAUGGACCAUUUUAUAUUAUUUUUAAUUUUUCUUUUAUAUAUAAAAUUAAUUUUACACAGAUCCUUAUAUAAAUAUAAUGAAUUAUAAAUAUAUUCUUAUAAAGUUUAAUUUUCAUAUAUUAUCUUCGCAAAAUUUCUGAUAUUUUUAAAUAUAUUCUUGUCAUUAAGAUCGGGUAGAAAAAAUUAGUUAAUCAUAGAUAAAAAAACUAAAUCUUAGCUAGUUAAUGAGAUGAAUCAAUCUUUUUAUCCCUAUUUAAUUGACAGUCGGGAUUUUUGUGAUGGCAAAAAGGCCAUUUCACUUAUAAAAUAAACAGUAUUGUAACGGUAACAAACCAUAAAGAUAUAUUUGAAAUUAUUAGGAUUUUUAUAGAAACAAUAUAUAAAAAUUAAAUUUUGUAGGAAUGUAUUUGUAAUGCACCAUGUUUACAGAAACUUGUAUGAAAUUAAUCCUAAAUUAUAAUAGCAUGUUAUUGCACUUUGAUACCCAUCUUUCCUCAUUUCUUUAUCUUGGUCCUUUUUUUUUAAAAAAAAAAAGAAAAAUUGGCUGUGGAAGCUUCUUAACCAUUAUAAUUUGAGGUAAUAUCACCUCUAGCUUCAUUGGAAAAAAAAAAAAUCCAAUUUAACAUCCUUUUCAAAAAUAUUCUUUCAUAGAUUAGAAAAAAAAAGUUAAUAACUUUUAUAUGAAUUUAUGUGUUAAUUAGAAGAAUUUUUUUUUUUCACUCUCACCUCCUCCCCAAUUUUUCUAAGAUCUUAGGAAAUGGUAGAGGAGAGAAAGAAAAUAAUAGUUUUUCUUUUCUAAUUAAAACAUAAAUUCAUAUAAAAAUUCUUUAAUUUUAUUUUUUUCUCAAUCCAUCAAAAUGAGGCUAGAUUAAAAAAAUUUUUGAAAAAAAUACUAGAUUGGAAAAAAAAAUUUCCAAAGAGGCUAGAUAUGGUGUGUUUUAAUUUUUUUUUUUUUUUGAAAAGAACAACAUAAGGCAUUUAUUCCAUAGGAUAAACAGUUACAGACUUCUCAAACUCUGCAAAAGAAGACCAACUAGAAGCUACCUGGGUAUCAAGGCCCCAUUUAGCUAGUUUAUUAACACGUUGUGAAAAUAAACUAUAAUUUAGCUAGAUAUGGUUUUACAUUCUAUACUUUAGAGCAAUGUUAUUCAUACACUCUAAAAAGAAUGUAUAUUAUACACCUCACAUAUUUAUUGGGUGGAUUUUCACUUAUCAUAUCCUGUAAUUAGUGAAACAACUCCACAUAUUAAACAACUGGGUGUAUAUCACACACUCCAAAAUAAAAUGUAUGGAUGAUUUUUUAUUUUAUUUUAUUGCAGUUAAGGUUUAAUUCGGUUCAUUUUGAAAAAAAUCAACUACAUCAAUGGCAAUAAAAGUUUUAUCUAACUAUAUAGACGACUGUCAUGAUUCGUUAACUUUCGAUUAAUUUCAACAUCAACUUUCUAGUUUUUAAAAAAGCGUGAUAGCGCGUUUGGCUUGACGCAAAGAAAUCAAAUAUUUCAAAAGAGACAAUAGAUUAUGUGCGAGGUCAGAUAAUUCUUCUAAGCAUGGAAAACUAAAUUGACCUUUGAGACAAGGAUAUUGGGUUUGACGCAUGUGGAAGAACAGGGUAGCGAUUUAGGUGGAAAAUUUGACAAAGGAUUGAGGAUCUGAUUACAAAAUAAAAAAUUUGGGACAAAAUAAAAAGCCAAGUAAAGGUGUGGACCAAUGGUCCAAUUAAUCCCAUAAAUUUUGUCCUAGUGAUUCCAUGGUUUGGUGGAUUAUUAAUAAAUAUAUAUAUAUAUUCAUGAAUCACCACAAAACUAAGCAAUAAAUUCAACUAUUCAAAAUUUGAAUUCAAUUCUCGUACGCAAUUUUAGAUUUGAAUUUUAAUAUAAAUUUUGAAUGUGAUUUCACAAUUUGAAUUCAGGCUCAAAUGAAUUCCACUUCCACUCUCAAAUUCCACAAACUAAAUUUCAAAUUGAAAAUAAUUUUGAAUUCAAAUUGAAAUUCCAAUUAACUACUGGCCGUCCUUAUUAGAGCAAGUAGCAAAAGACUUGAUGGUUGGUAUCCGAGGUCGCAAGUUUGAAUCCUAGUUGAUUCACAUUUCUAGUUAAGUUUAUUUCUAAAUAAAAUAAACGAAGCGGGUAGCAUGCUAUCUAUCUCUAAAAAAAAAAGAAAUUCCAAUUAACUGAAUAAUUUUGGAUUUCGAAUUUUCAGUUUAAGUUCGAAUUUAAACUUUAAAUUGUAAAUAUAAAAUUUGUAUUGCAAUUUUAAAUUUAACAUCAACUUUUGAUUUUAAUUUGAUUUUAAAUAUAGAUAUUAAAUUAAAAUUUUAAAUUUGAAUGCAAAUUUAAAUUCAAAUUCAAAUAGUUGCCCUUAUUAUUGCUUUCGACAGAUUGGGAUUAGAGGGUGUCAAGGAGCCGAACACGAGCGAGCUGAGGUCGGCUAGUCUUCGGCACUAGCUGGCUCGUUACAGUAUGGAGCCGAAAAAUUCACAUUGUGUUCGGCUCAUUUAUUAACUAGCCGAACACAAGCCAAAUACGAGCUCGCUCAUGAAUAAUAAUUUAAAAGAAUUAUGAAAUAUACGUAUAGAAAAUAAAUUUAUGAGAUUUUAUUAAAUUUAUGAGAUUUUAUUAAUUUAACUUUAAUCUAAUAGUUGAAACAUUACAUAUAAAUAAUAUUUUUAUAAUUGAGUUGGGCUUUAUAUUUAGGUUAAAUAAUAAAAAUUUAUAUUAUAUAUAUAAUUAUUUAUUUAUAUAUAUAAAUAUAAAAUAUAUGUAUUCGAGUUGUUAUCGAGCCGAACACAAACGAGCUGAUCUCGGCUCAUUUAUUAAACGAAUUGAAAAAUUCAACUCAAGUUCAGCUCGUUUAUUAAACGAGCGAUUCAAUCUCAAACUCAUUUUGAACCGAACACAAGCUGAUUUGCGAACAACGAAUUGAAAUGCCAACCCUACUUGGGAUGGGGCCUUGCCAUGUGCCAAGUAAAUUGCACGGUCUAAAAACACACUAUUUAAAACUCAUCUUAUUUAAUUAGGCAAAUAUGAUGCGUUCCCCUCAAAAUUUAAAAAAUACCAUAAAUAUUCUUUAAAAUUGCUAAUAUAAAUAUUAUCUCGAGCUAGGCUGGUAUACUAUCGGUAGCACGGAGGCCUUCGUACUAUCAAGUUGUUUUCAAUGAUGUAGCUUCCAAAUCGACGAUCGGCUUCUUUAGACUUGAUCUACACUAUUGAAAGUAUUGAAAAACUAAAUUUUAUAAUCUUUCGACAUUAUUUACCUAUCAAACGAGUAAUCUAAAAAUGAACGGCUGAAAAUAAAAAUCUCAUAAAAAAUGAUGAUAAAAAACUUAAAUUUAUAGAUAUUGAUCUUAUUCUAAAUAGUGAAAAAAAAUUCUAUAAAAAUUUUAUCAGAUUUGAAUUAUUUUAUACCGUUAAAUUCAUAAACGAAUCACAUCGACCAUUAAAGUUGUCAAUUUUGAUACCUUUUGAUCAUUAACCAACACAUCCAAUGUGUCGAUUAAAUCACGGAUCGUAAUUAUUCCGAAAAAUAAUAAGUUAAUAUUUUUCCGGAAUAUUACAACGGAAGCGCACAAAUAAAAUUAACCCUACAAUUUUUGUCUACCUCGUGGUGUCUGAAAGCAGAGAUAGUCGGAGCGAAGAACCAGAAGGCGGAAGAAUCUGUUUAAGAGAAAUGCUAAGUCUACAGUCCUUUCUUGAUUGUAGAAUUACAAGUUUACAACUCUCAAUCCGAGAAUAACUAUAAUCUUAUUUCUUAGAUAACAGUAUUUUUAAUCUAUAUUUUCAACAAUGAGAAUCAACAUUUCAAUAUGUGACUCUGCGAAAAGCAAAAUUACAUGUACAUUGGUAUUGGCGCUAACUCAACCUUUAUAGUAAUCUCUCUUCAAUCUACCACAGAACUUAACUAUUCCAAUAUAUAUAUAUUAAAGUUAGGAAGAUCAAAAGGAUUUGGACUGUUCCAUUUGUUAGUAUUUUAGUAUACAAUGUAUCUUGGAAGAUGUGAGAAAUCUAGAUGUCUUAACUGAGGCAGAUGCUGAAUACUGCUAUCCAAGUUUGCUACAAUUUAUUGUUGAUGAAUAUUGUACUUAAUUCACUUCCUCCAGGUGUGAAUAACUGUGUUCGAAGAUGGAUUCAUAGAUAGUGAAUUUCAUUUGGUAAUUAUACAAGGCACAUUGGUAUAGAACAACAAGAUCAAAGAAAAUGUAAUACACGUUGGUUCUCUCCGGAUGUAGUUUCUUUUUUUUUUUUUUCGGCAGUUUCAUAGAUACCCCUCCCAAAAUUUAAAAUAGCAUGGAUGCCUCUAUAAAAUUAAAAAUAUCAUAUAUGCUCCUAUAAAUAUAAAAAAUUAUCAUCAAUACCCCUACCGUUAGCUAUAUUAGCUUUACCAUAGUUGUUAAAUGGUUAAAGAUGGGUUAACUUUUAAAAUUUCCUAUUUACCCUCAACUAUCUCUUUAAUAAAAAUGUAUGGAGACCCCCUCAACUAUUUGCCGUUUUGAAAGGCUCCCUUAACUUUUAUUUUUUUAGUUAACAUCCCAUUAACUUUUAGUUUUUUAAAAAAUUAACUAAUUUUAGUGUAUGAAAAAUAAAAAUUUUAUCAAGUUUUUUAUGAUUUCACCAAAUCUAGUGGUUCUUUAUUUUAACUAUGUAUAAAAAAUUAAAUAAAAGUAAAAGUUGAGGAUUUUUUUAUCUUUCUUUAGUCUUGGAAGCUCAAAAGUUUUGUAACCAAAAUUAUUCUCAAUAAUUUUAUCUACAUUAAAUGCAUUAAAAACUGAAAUAUAAUAUAUUUAAGCUUUUGAACAAAACUCUCUUUUUUUUAAAUCGAUAAAAAAAAAGCAUGCAUAUUGAUAUAGUUAUGUGAUUUAUUUUUGAUUAAAUAGGAAAAAAAAUCUAUACUUUAUUUCAAAUUACUAUUACUGAUUAGGAAUGUGAAUUGAUACAGGUAUACAAUUUUAUAUUAACUCGAUUUUGAAUGGGGUGAGCUUAAUCGAUGUUGAGUGUGAUAGUUUUACCAAAUAAUGAACUCUCAUCGUAUUUAAAUUUCGUUAUGAUUUUGGUCUAUAUCCAAAUCGAAUCUGAACCAAAAUCCGAAGCCAAAAACAAAACCAAAAUUAUAUAAAAACAUACUAUAUUUAAAAUACAAUUUUUAUAUAUCAUUUAAAAAUUAAUUAAAUAUUUAUAUUAAAUAGUCAAAUUUAGAUUUACAAAAAUUAUCUUGAAAUACCUAUUAGUGUUUCUAUUAUUGAUAAGAGAUAAAGGGUAAAAAUGAUAUUUUAAAAAUUUAACUCUAUUUCAGAUGAUUUUAACAGACGCUAACUAUGGGAGGGCAUUUGUGAUAAUUUUUAACAUAUUGUAGGGCAUUUGUGAUAAUUUUUAACAUAUUGUAGGGCAUUCGCGAUAUUAUCAAUUUUAGAAGGGUAUUGNAUUAGUGUUUCUAUUAUUGAUAAGAGAUAAAGGGUAAAAAUGAUAUUUUAAAAAUUUAACUCUAUUUCAGAUGAUUUUAACAGACGCUAACUAUGGGAGGGCAUUUGUGAUAAUUUUUAACAUAUUGUAGGGCAUUUGUGAUAAUUUUUAACAUAUUGUAGGGCAUUCGCGAUAUUAUCAAUUUUAGAAGGGUAUUGAUGAAAUUAACAGGUUCUAGAAGGACAUCUAAGAAAUUAUCCCUAUAGUUAAGGAGCCGUACAAGGGUAGAAAUGGUAUUUACAACUUGUUCCGUUAGAUUCUAACGAUAUAUUACCUGUAGGGGUAUUCAUGAGUUUUUUUAAAAUUUUGAAGAGCAUUCAUGAUAUUUUGAAUUUUAGAGGGCUAAUUGCUCCUAUAGGGGCAUCUAUGAAAUUUUUUCCCUUUUUUUAAGAGAGAAGAUAGCACGCCACUAGCUUCGCUUAUUUUAAAAAAAAAUAAACUUAGCUGAAAAUAGGGUUAAUAUAAAUUUUGAAGGCAAUUUCAAAAUCUGAAUUCAGUAUCAAAUGAAUACCACUUUCAAUCUAAAAGUUUUCACAAGUUAAAAUUUCAAAUUGAAAAUAAUUUUGAAUUCAGGUUGAAAUUCCAAAUUCUAAUCAACUCAAUAAUUUUGGAUUUUGAAUUUUAAGUUUAAGUUCAAAUUUGAACUUUAAAUUUGUAAAUUUAACAUUUGUAUUGCAAUUUUAAAUUCAACUUCAAAUUUUGAUUCUAAUUUGUAUGUUAACGAGCCAGGCGCUGUAGGUGAUUCUUAGAAAAAGACUCUGUUCACUUCCUAGAUAUAGCAACAAUCCCUAUUAUUGCGUCUCCGCUCUAUCGCCCUUAUCUAAGCAGGUCAUCAAGCUAGGAUCUCUCAUCUUUUGGAAUGCCAUAGUGAUUUCACAAAAUCAGUACGAUUUGCCCGAUCUCUACCUCAUUCCAUUUUGAAAGUGCAUUCCUACUCUAUUGGAAAAGGACAUAUUUUCGAGUUGAGCUUGGCAGUUUGCUGAGAUGUCCAAGUAAAUCAUACUCUCAACUGACUGGAAAAGGUGGAAUCAUCCUAAGGAAAGAAAGCCCAUCGACUCCCUCGGCUUAUGUAACAAGAGCAAGACUAGCAGCUAUGUAAUGAUUAAAUCAUUCGCAAUAAAUAAAAAGAAAGGAUUCUAUUGGCACUAGCACUCAAUGCAAGGCAGGGGAUCAUUUGGUAAUUAUAUAAGGCACAUUAGUAUAGCACAAUAAUGAACAAGAUCAAAGAAAAUGUAAUAUCUGUUUGUUCGCUCCUUUUUUUUUUUUUUUCGAGGAGAAUGGUAGCAUGCUACUUUUUUUUUUUUUUUUUUUUUUGAGGAGAAUGGUAUUCGUUUAGUUUUUUAGAAAUAAAUAUAGCUGAAAAUGUGAAGCAACCUGGCUUCUCUCCAGAUAUAGUUAAAAGUCGCAAUCAUUGGUUUUCUUUCUCCCCCAAGGAUUCUGGGUAGGUCGAAAUACUAAUCUUAAGAAAAGCUGGUUUAAUUUUUUGAUUCAGUAUGUGGUAUUUAUUAGUUUGUUCGGGAACUCCCAUCACAUUUCACAAUUUUUUUUUUUUGGUCAUUAGAAUAGUGUCUCUUUAUAUUACAUUUUGAUCAAAUCUAUCUGUGAUUAUACUAAAUUUGAUAGUUUUAGUCACUUUUAGAGAUUAAAACAGAAAUGAUUAAAAGCUAAUAGCUCAUAAAGAAUCAAUUUUUUAAAAAAUUAACUAGUAUAACUCAAAUAGACUCUUCCUUCCGAUCUCAUGCAAGAGCCAAUUUUCACCUACAUUCCGACCUCAUGCAAAAACCAAUUUUCACCUAUCAUUCAAACUCAUGCAAAUAAUAAGCCCUCAUGCAAAAACCAAUUUUUACCUAACUUCCUACCUCAUACAAAAACCAAACUCAUGCAAAUUAUAAGCUUAACUUACCCUCUCAAAUAACACUAUAAAAAGAAAUGUGAGAAAGCAAUUUUAUAUUCAUUCAAUAAUAUAUCUCUUUUUUAAAUAUGUUUAGCAAUUGUUCUUGCACUAUUAUUCUCGUAGUAGUGAUUUUAUAUUUGCUAGCCGGAGAAGUCGUAUUAGCAGAUUAUAUAAAUAAUAUACUUUUACCUAAAUAUCCAUAUUUUAGUAAAUCAAAUAUGGAUUAUGCACCGGGGCAUAAGGUAUAUCCGUGCCAUGUCGUGUUUGUCUGUUAUUUAUUUAUUUUUUAUUUCUAAAAUUUUUAAUACUAGUUUAUAAAGAGUAUAUAGUUGUUUAUUUAAUUUAUUACCAAAUAAACUUUAAAUAGCUUUUAGAUAAUUUUCUAAGAAAAUGUAUUUCAAAUUUGAAUAGUUUAAAGAGGAAGUGCUUAGAGGAAAUGCUUAUCGAGACUCGGGAGUUGGGACCCAUUUUGUAUAAAUAAAUAAAUAAAUAAAUUUAAAUAAAAAUAUAGCAAAAAUAUAAAAUUAAAAAAUUAAAAAAUAAAUGUAAAAGAAACUGAAAAAAGAAGAAGCAACUACAGCAAAAGACUAAAAUCAUAAAAAUAAAUGUAUAAGAAGUGUAAGAAAAGAAUAAGUGCAUAAUUAUAAGAAUAAUAAAACCAUCAGUGAAAAUUAAGAACUAAACUAUCAUAUGUCCCACAUUUCGAGUCAAAACUCACAAUUAAUUAAACUUUGAGGAUUAAAGUGUCACGUGCCCUACAGUUUAAGCUAGAAAUUAUGAAACAUUAAAAUUUGAGAACUAAAGUGUCAAACAUCUUAUAAUUUGAGGACCAAAAGCGUAAUUUACUUUUUUUAUGCUUUACUUUUAUUCUAGAUGAAGACUGAAUUAAGUAUCGGUCGAUUGUCCAAAAUCUUCGAAAAAAUAAAUGACCUAGUAAUCAUAGGUGAUGAUAAUGGUAAUAAAUUUAAUUUAUUUUUAAAGUUUUAUUAAUAUAUAGUUACAGUAUUCGUUGAGUUAUUUUCAAGGAGGAAAGAGAUUAUAUUUGUUCUCUUGUGAAAUGAAGUUAAAAAAUUCAUAAGUUUGAGGUUCAAAACGAAAUCGACCACUUCAAGCUGAGCAUUCCUGAGGGUGGGGUUAAAAAAGACAAAAGAAAGAUUUAUUGGCUUGAAAAGAAGAAUGGAUUAAAAGUAGGCGCUCUACCUUUUUUAUACAUUAUUAUAUUUUGGCUAAAUUACAGAAAAUUUUCUUGUCAAAGCGCGAUUUUUCACUUCCCCUGUCAUUUAAAAACCUAUACUUUCCCCCCUUAUAAAAUGAAAAAUGUCCAAAGGGGUACAGUGUGUACUGUAUUUUUUUUGUUAGUAACAUAAAUUAGUUUUUGUUAAAAAUGUAUAACACUAAUAUAUAAAAAAUAAUAAUAACUUACUUCUAAUCCACUUCUUUUUCAUAGUGUAACAAUCCUGAAGAAUAAAUGGUAGGAGUAGUAGUAGUAGUUAGCAUGGGAGAAUAGUAAAAAUAGCAACUUUCAGUAGAAGAGGAAUAAAAGGUAACAACAAGGUGGAGAGCGAGCUCGAGGCCUUGUCGUCGAAGUCGGUGCCGGGCUGGCGUUGAUGAUGACGGCCAUGGCGAGAGAGGUGGUGGAGCCCAUGCUGGCCUUGUACUGGGCGUGGCAGCCGUGCGGUACAAGUGUUAGGCAGUAUAUAUAGAUACAAGCAUGUAAUUGCAGAGAUUAUCAAUGAAAUGAAUUAGUCUAUAUUUUCUCCCCCAAAAGAUCUUCUCCAAACCCUUCUUUUUCUCCACUACUUCUCUAUCCCAAUUUCUUAUCCCACUCUUUAUCUCUAAUCUCUAUCCCUAACCCUUUUCUCUCUAAUUCUCAUCUCUACUGUCUCUAUUUCAUCUUUCUCAACCCCGGGGAUAUUACACAUAGCCAAUAAAUUAUUUUUGUUAUUUCUCAAUCCCACUGUCAGGGAUAUUCAACUUGAAGUUUGUGAUUUCGUUUCCAACCGCCAACGUUUGGACUUUUUUAACUUCAUUUCUCGAACGAACAACCACCGAACAAAUACGGUCUCUUUCAUGGCUGAAAAAAAUCAAAAAUUACUACGACUUUAUAUUAAUAAAAUUUUAAAAAUAAAUAAAAUUUAUUACCGUCUUCAAUGACUACUCGGUCAUUUAUAUUUGCAAAAAUUUUUAACAAUCACCAUACCGUCUCUUCCAUAAACUAAAAUAAAAUAUAUCAUUAGUAACAUAAAUUUUAAUAUAAAUUAAAAUUUUAAAUUUAUUUGUUUACCUAAAAUUUCUUAUGUUUUUAAUAACGAUAUAUUUUUCUUUGGAGAUGUAAAGUCACAGUGGUCGGAAUGUCGAUGACAAUCCUACGCUGGUUGCGGAUGAAUUGCUUGAAGUCGUUCUUAUGUCGGACGAGGCCAAUUUCUUGUCCCACCGCUUCAAUUUCCGUGAACUCCUCCUCCUCUUCCUCGUCAGUUUUCUCCUCCUCCUCCGCUUCGUCAGUGUCCUCCUCCUCAAUCUCCUCCUCAUCGUUCUCCGAUUGCUUUCCCCUUCUUCAUCGCUUUCUCCUCCUCGGAGGCAUCGUCCUCCUUCUCGAAGGCAUUGGGGAUGUCGAAUGCCUCCAAUUUCGCUUCCUUGUGAUCGGGAGAGGGAUCGGGGAUCUCCGCACGAUGCUCUUUCGUUUCGCCAUGGGUGCAUUAGAAGAGAAAGCAGGUGCAGUGGGAGAGAAAGAGAGAGUGAGGAAGAGGGAGAAGGGGCGCGUUCGAACCUACGAGAUAUUUAUACAAACAUUUUUUCGUUGGUGCCACUUCUCCACGGUUGGGGUAGCUGGGGCCACUCGCCGAUGUGGUUGGGGCAGUUGGAGCCACUACCCGAUGCGGUUGGGGCCACUGCCCAGAGUUAUAAUAUAUAUUAUUUUUUGUUAGUAACAUAAAUUAAUUUUUGUUAGAAAUGUAUAAUACUAAUAUAUAAAAAAUAAUAAUAGCUUACUUCUAAUCUACUUUUUUUUUCCAGCCAAUAAAUUUUUUCAUACCUUGGUGCAUAAUCCAUAUUUGAUUUACUGAAAUAUGGAUAUUUAUGUAAAAGUACAUUAUUUAUAUAUUCUGUUAAUACGACUUCUCCGGCUAGCAAAUAUAAAAUCACUAUUACGAGAAUGACAGUGCAAGAACAAUUGCUAAAUAUAUUUAAAAAAGAGAUAUAUUAUUGGAUGAAUAUAAAAUUGCUUUCUCACAUUUCUUUUUAUAGUGUUAUUUGAGAGGGUAAGUUAGGCUUACAAUUUGCAUGAGUUUAGGUGAUAGGUGAAAAUUGGUUUUUGCAUGAGGUAGGAAGGUAGGUGAAAAUUGGUUUUUGCAUAAGGUUAGAACGACGACUUUUCUAGUUAGUAAAUAUAAAAUCACUACGAGAACGACAUUGCAAAAAUAAUAAACAAACAUUUUUAAGAAGAGAAAUAUUGCUGGAUGAAUGUAAAAUGCAUUCUCACAUUUCUUUUUAUAGUAUUUAUUAAAUAUUAAGAGCUUAUUUUUUCCAUGAGUUUAGGUUAUCAUGAAAUCAGAAUGAAGUGGAAUAGGUAAAAAUUGGUUUUUGCAUGAGGUUGGAAGGAAGGGCAUGACAAAAUUAUAUUUGAACUCCCUAUCACAAUAAUGCAAGUGUGAUGAGAAAUAUUCUCUUUAACUUUUAUAAUAUUUUUUUUUAUCAUACUUAAUUUUUUAAAAGUUUGAUUCUCUAUGAUAACCUUUUGAUUAUUUCUGUUUUUAUUUCUAAAAAUAACUAAAACUAUCAAAUUUGCAUGGUAGACUGUUGAAAUUGUCAAUUUUGAUUAUUGUUGUACUAAUAUAUAUAUAUUUUUCUUUAUUUGGACUCAGUAUGCUGUAGCUUCGUUGCAAAACCAAGUACUUUCUUCUAACGGCACCCAAAAGAUAUAUGGGGCUAAAGCUACGAUAAAUCUCUGGCAACCGCAUGUCGAAGCUAGCACUGAAUUUAGUUAGGCUCAAAUGUGGAUUGCCAGUGGAUCAUAUGAAAAUAACGACCUCAACACGAUUGAAGUCGGUUGGCAGGUAUUCCAUCAGAAUUCAAGGUUUAAAAUGUGUAAUAAUAGCUAGUCGUUAACUCCUGCAAAAAAUUAUAUAUGCAUAUCAUAAAGCAAGAUUAGGGAGAUUAGGGAUGGAACUGGCCCAGGCCUAAAUUUAUCUUUUUCCUCCUAAAUUUUAACUAUUUUUCUCUCUCUAAACUAAGCUAUUUCUCCCCCUCUUUUUCUAAAAUCUCAACCCUCUCAUUCUCUCUAACCUUGACUCUAUUUCUCUUCCUAUUUCUUUAAUUAUGCUUUCUCUUUCUAACCUAUGUUCUCUCUCUUUUUUUUCUAAAACGAUAUUAAAAUUUUUUAUAGUAUUAUUUAAGAUUAAUUUAAAAAAUAAAUUAAUUAAUUGUAUAUUUUUCGUAAUCUUAAAUAACAUGACUAAAUGAUAUGAACCAAAUACCGAAAUACUACAUUCUUAGUAAUAGGAUAAAUAGGAAUAAAAGUCUCGAAUAUUUUGUUACGCAUAAUAAUCUUUCAUAGUGCGAACGAAACGCGCCCUAAACGCGGCCUAAAGGUAAUAAAAUUGGUUGCAUGGGGGUUAUUAAUUCUUGUAGGCAUUAGUCUAGUCUUAUCUUAAAUCUUAAAUAUAAUAAUAGAAUGGUUACCUGAAACUUUCUUUAUUUUUUAAUGUUCAGGUUUACCCUCAUCUUCAUGGAGUCGCCAUACCUAGGCUGUUUAUCUCCUGGACGGUAAGAUUUUGUCUUUUUCAUCUACUGUAGAAGUGCCUAAGUAGCAUUUUUUGCAAAGAUAGUUUUUUUCGUGAAUUUUGAUAAAUUAAAAGUUUUUAUUUGAUUAUAAUCAUUUAGUUUGGCCAAAAAAUCAAGCAAAACUAUAUAAUUUUCAGAAAAUUCGGUUUAUCUGCUACAGUAAAAGUAAUUUAAAAAUAAAAUCGAGUUGGUUGAUAGGUUAAAAAACUAUUAUAAAAUAAAAUUGAGUAAAAAUUUAUUGGGAUAUUCUUAAGUAUAAAUAUAUUUUGGAAAUGGAGGGGCAUGGAGAUAAAAACCAUCUAUAUAUUGUACUAAUCAUCAAUCUAUAUGGAUAUUUUAUUAAAUAAUAAAAUGAUUCUACUGAAAAAAAUUAUCUUAAAAUUCUUAAAAAAUAAAAUAUAAUUAUUUGUAGAUAAUUUUUAAGAUUGUAUAACAUGUAAAUAUUUCAAUAAAGUUAGAUAAUAUUAUAUAUAAAGGGUAAUUGCUUAUAUAUGCUUGUGAAAAGUUUCAGUUUUCUUAUUUGGCCCGUUUAGAAGACUAACAAAAAAAAAAAAGAAAAAAAAGAAAACUCUUCUAAUGUUCCAAGAUUUUUUAAAUAUAGCCCUACAGUUAGAUUCUGAUAGUUCACUAUUACAACAGUCAAUAUCUCUAUAAAAUUACUAUUUUACACAUUCAAAUCUUUUAUAGUGUCACUCACUUUUUUUAUUUACCCUUAAAAUAUUAAAAUUUUUUAAAUUUAUCCUCCAACGGUCGUGUUCCAACGAUCAUCUUUCUUUUUAAGCUUAUAAAAAUUACAAUCAUAGCUAAAAAAAAAUUAUCAUAGCUAAAUCAAUAAUUCAACACAGCUACAUGUAAAUAAUCACAGCAUCACAACUUCACAAUUUCAUAAUUAAUUACAUGUAAAUCACUAAUAGAAUUUAACGCUAGAGUCAUAUUUGAAAUAACUUAGAAUGUUACAAGGGCACUUUUCAUAUUAAUCUUCUAAAAAAGGUAAAUAAGAAAGUCCGAACAUUUUAAGUGUAUAUAAAUAAUUGUCCCUUAAAAAGGAUAAUUAUAUUAGGAAAAAAUAUGCUAGUAGAAAAUAUGUUAGUAGAAAAUAUGUUAGUAGAUUUGGGAUAAAAAAGGUAUUUUGACUCCUUUUUAACUCUGGUAGAAAUUUAAUCCAGAUUUAAAUUCAGAUAACUUAACUGGUACUAACAGCAUGAUUAUUUUUUAAUAAGGAAAAAAUAUGCAAAGGGUAUAUUCGAAACAAAAAAAAAUACAUAUAAAAGUUUUGACGGGUUUAAAGAUAAUUAUCCCUUUCUAUUAUGUAUGGCUAUAGAUUGAUAUACUAAAUGCAUCUCAGAUCUCUUCCAUUUUUAUCUCUAAAUAGCAGUUCAAUUUUUUUUAACACAAAUAAUAUUAAUUUUCUCAAAUAAACUUUUUGCAUGCCAUAGUUUAGCUAGCCAUAGGCAAUUGCAGAAAUUUCGGCUUCUGAUUAAUUUCGUAUACAACUAAUAAGUGACCCAUUCAAUGCAUGAAAUUAUAAUUACUAAUUUAUAAUUUUUUUAAAGUUGUGGAUACUUUAUGUAUUAGUUUAUUCUUAUGAAAUAUCAGUUUACUUUCUCUCAAUCAUAUUAGAUUUUGCAAUAAAAAAUAUCUUAUUCCUAUAAACUGAGUAAGCCUAUUACAAAUAUAAAUUAUAAUUUUUUUCUUCUUCUUCUUGUUUAUAAAUAACUGAUCAGUAGCAAAUUUGGGUUAUAACUUCUAAUUAGCCCUUUGUAAGUUAAUCUUGGUCCUUCUUUAAAAAAAUUGUGACAACGAACAUGUAAUGUUUCUGAUGCAACAGAGAGAUACGUAUCAGACAAUAGGUUGCUACAACUUGUGCGAGGGAUUUGUCCUCCUAAACCGUAGUGCCGGGAUUGGGGAGAUGAUAAUACCAACGUCGACCUACGGCGGCGUCCAGUAUACCGUGACAAUUUUAGUAACAAAGGUACAUUGAUUUAUCAAAUUAUAUAGCAAAAUGCAAAUCCGAUAGUCUCAUAUUAGAUAGAAGAUAAUUUUUCAGGCACGAGAUGUAUUCCAUAACAAUCACAGUAUUAAAGGUAUAAUGAUUUACCAAACUAUACAGAAGAAUGCGAAAUCUAAUAGUCUUAUAUUGGAUGAAGAGUAAUACUUUCAGGCGCAAGAUGUAACAAUCAUAGUGUUGCAAGUACAAUGAUUGGUCAAAUUAUAGAUGUGACUUUUUACUUUAUAGGAGAACACUUAUUUUAGAACUAUUUUAAUCCUAACACGCUUAAUAUAUAUCUUCAAUAUUAUGAUUGUUUGGAUCUAGUCUUUAACCCUAUUAUAUCAUCUAUAUAGGAUUAUUCCAAAUUUUAUGGUGUCACAAUAUAGCAAAAUCCGAUAGUCUUAUGUUGGAUUAAAAAUAAUAUAUUCAAGCACAAGAUGUAUUCCAAACAAUCCAAACAAUCAUAAUAUUGAAGAUAUAUAACUAUAUUGCAGAAUGCGAAAUCCAAUAAUCUCAUAUUGGAUGAAAAAUAAUAUUUUCAGGGAUUGGAUGUCAAUUGGUGGUUGUACGUCCACCUAGACAAUCAAGAAUGGAUUACUGCAGGUUACUGGCCUGCUUCAAUUUUCACUGUUCUUUCGUCAAGUGCUGCCAAAGUGGACUGGGGUGGAGAGAUGAUUAAUAAUAAAUUCGAGGGUCGGCACACGAGGACACAAAUGGGUUCAGGCCACUUCCCCCACGAAGGAUACACAAAGGCCAGUUACUUUUCCAGCCUCAAAGUUCAGACUGAUCCUCACGGUGUGUUUGUCGACGCCAACCCCUCGGGCAUCGCUUUUCAGACCCAAAGCCCCUACUGCUAUGACAUCCAGCAGAGCUCCUAUGAUCCAUCGGCAGGAGUUUUAUUCUGUUUUGGUGGACCGGGCCACAAUCCCCAGUGCCCUUAAUGAUGUGAAUCCAGUUGUUAUCUUAUAUAUAUGAAUAAGUUUACACUCGAACCACAACCUUGGUAGUUAUACCAAGGUUAAAUAAUAAACCUUCUUGUUAUUUUGGUUGCAACGAUUUUUUUUUUCUUUUUUUUUUUAGAGCCUGUUUGAAUAUAUGAAUAUGGACAUCUUUUUAAUUUGCUCAUAAAGUUUGAAGCAUUUGGUAGAUAGAAGUGUGAUUGUUGUCUCCAAAGAAAUUGCAUUCAACCUUUGAAUUUUUUUUUUUUGAAAUAAGAUAAAUCAUCGUAGAAAAAAUAUGAUAUCAAAUCAUGAAUAUCAAAGCCUUUCAAUGAGUACAAAAAUUAAAUUUCUAUCUUUCAAUCACACAAUAAAAUUCUCUUAGCUUUCUUAUUAAUAAAAGUAUAACCCAAAGCUACAGAAAGUAGGCACUUGAGUUCUUGCACACAACUAAGAUUUCUAACACAACUAACACAAAUAAUAAGGAAAUGGGAACUUUACUAAACUACCAUCGACAGUAAACCGCUUUGUUUACUUCUAAUUUAUUUUUGAUAAUAAAACUUUCAAAUCAACAAUCGGUACCGUUGAAUAUGAUUUAUAUCAUUUAAAUUAUCUAGAAAUUAAAUUUCAUACUUUUUCGAUAGUGUUCUCUUGUCCAUCAAGUGGACAUAAAAUGAAUGGCUAAAAUUGAAUAUCCUUCAAAAUAUAAUGAUACAAUUUUUAUAUUUAAGAUCUAGACUCUAAAUCUCAUUUUAAAUAGUUUAAAGAAUUUUUUAAUUUAGCUUAUUUGGAGCCUUUUAUACUGUUAAAUGAACAAAUGUACCAUACCUACCAUUAAAAUUAUAAAUUUUGUGGCUCUUUAAUUAUUCGGUAAAUGAUGUGGAAAAAUAUAAACUUUGGUUUCUAAAUAAUUUAAAUGGUCAAAAAUAUGUUCAACAGUGCCGAUCGUCGAUUUGAAAGUUUUAUUAUUAAAAAAAAAUUGAUAAUAAAUCAAAGUCAUUUAUUACCGAUAAUAGCCUAACAAAACUCGAAAAAUAGGAUAUAUCUAGAGACCAAGAAAUUUUCUCUUUUUUUUGAAUUUUUAAAUUUUUCACCUUUUUCGUUAUUAUAUUCAUAUAAAUAUACUAAUAUUACUAAUACAGAUAAAAUAUAAGUAAAAAUAUAUGUAAACCCUCUCAACUUAAAGCUACUUUUAAAUAAGUCCUCUAAUUUCAUUUAUUUUUUUUUAGCAUAAAUCAAACUAUUUUUUUAAAUUUUUUUUCUAGUAACUAGAGGAGCUCAUCUCACAUCUCUCAUCUCACAUCUCACACUUUCUUAUACCAACUGUGACACCCCAACACCGACCGUCCCUAGAGCAAGUGGCAAAAGGCUUGGUGGUUGGUACCCGAGGUCUCAAGUUCGAAUCCUAGUUGAUUCACAUUUCCAGCUAAAUUUAUUGCUAAAUAAAAUAAAUAAAGCGGGUAGCAUGCUAGCUAUCAUCACCCAAAAUGUUUAAAUCGGAUUAAGAGUUUUAGUCUUAUUAUAUCUUAUAUAUAGAACUAUCUGAGGUCUAACCACCACCCAAAAUGUUUAAGUUGGAUAAAGAGUUUUAGUCCUAUUAUAUCUUAUAUAUAGAACUAUCUGGUGUCUCAUAUUAUCUCUAAAAAUGAAUAGCGAAUAAGCGUAGUAAAAAGAGUUAAAAGUUUGUAGUUCUGGGGGCAUGAUAUCCUUGAAUUCCUUCAAGAGCUUCGCCACUUCAAGUGGCGUCGGAGUCUCGUCCCCCACUCCCAGUUUCCAACUUCAAAGCCGCCACAUAAGUCAGCUCGCCCCUCUUCACACCUUUCUUGAGCUGGAGCACUGAAAUCUGUCGGGCAUCCGUUGUCUUCCGCACCACCGGAACGACACAUGGACAUUCAUCUCCCAUCAUGCAGAGGGCAUCCAAGAAUGGCAUAGGCACCCCUCUAGACAUCUGGAGGAACUCCAUCGCGAGGAUAACUUGGAAAUCAUCCAGUGGCACUGACAUGAAAUUGGCUUUACCCGUCCACGAGCCGAUGCUAACAGGCACUUCCUUCGCGAGACCCGCAAUAGGUUGGGCCUUCGAGUUCACUGCUUUCAUGCGACUUCCGUUCUUGCUCAGCGUAAGUUCGAGACGUUCAGCUUCAUCUGUCGCAAUGAAGUUGUGAGUAGCACCUGUAUCCACCAUUGACUUAGUUGUCUUGCCGUUGAGCUUGAUGUCCACGUACAUUAGCUCACUAUGCUUACUCUCUUUUGGUAAGGAGGAUUGCGCCUUCGGUAGUGGGGUCUUCUCUUUCUCCCCCACUUGACCCUUGAGUGCAUUGAGCAAUCGGAGUGCCCCCAUUCGGAUGCUUCAUGUCUCCGCUGCCUCUUCCUCUUCGUCGGAUUCGGGGUCCUUCGUCUGCACCGCAUUGAGAGACUUCCUUUGAGGGCACUAUCUGACAAAGUGUGGACCCCCGCAAAGGAAGCAACCAUCUUCAAGGCUCUUCAAAUUCUUUAGACUCUUUGACCCUGCCACUUUUCCCUCCGUGGGUUCCGGUCCCUUACCCUUUGCCUUGUGGUUGUGGGUCUUGGGGUUGCUGCUCACGGGUUUCUUCUUGGGGUGUUCCGGCAUUGAGUAGUCGGUCAGCCACUCAGCCGCCCCCUGGGCCGCAGCUAAGUCCUUGAUAUUCUGGUGACGCAGUUCUGCCUGCGCCCAAGGCUUCAGUCCUUCGACGAAGUGAAAGAGUUUGUCUUUCUCAGACAUAUCUCGGAUAUCCAGCAUCAACGCGGAGAACUGCUUGACAUAGUCUCGAAUUGACCCCGUCUGCUGGAGCCUUCGCAAAUUUCGCUGCUCGAUAAACUCGACAUUCUCAGGAAGGAACUGAGCCUUUAACUCCUUCUUUAGGUCCUCCCAAGUGUCUAUGGUACAGCAACCUCCCUGAAUGUCCUCAUAUCGGGUCCUCCACCAUAAUUUAGCAUCCCCGUCGAGGUACAUAGGCAUGAACGUGACCUUCGACUCCUCAUUGUCAGGUUGAACGACAUGGAAGUACUGUUCCAUGUCAAAUAAAAAGUUCUCGAGCUCUUUUGCAUCACGAGCUCCACAAAAGCUUCACAGUUUCGGUACUCGAACACGCCCCACAUGACCCCCACCUUGGGUUGCGGGAGGAGCAUUGCUCAUGGCCGUUGUCAGCAGGUUCACCCGUGCAAACAAUUCGAUGGUCUGCUCCUUUAAGUGAUGGACCGCCUCCUUCGUAUUAUCCUGUAGCUCAGCCACUUGCUCGAUAAGUUGAGCAAGCGUCACCUCAAGCAUAGUGACCCGCUCCUCAUGCGCGGCUACCUUAGUCACUUUCUCGUCGAGUCAAUUAAGCUGGGUUUCCAAGUCGACAAGCCGUUCUCGAUUGCUCCUGUGCCUAUCUGAUUCGCCUUGUCCUUCUUUAUCCGCCGGUGCCACAUGCUGCGUUGUCGCUGGUUGUGCCACCGUACUUAUCUCUCUCUACGACAGGGGCUUUGCUCCGGCCCAUGUCGUCUCCGUCAAUCCAGGCUCUGAUACCACUUGACACGGGUCUAAUGUCUUUUUGUCGAAAACCCUGCGCGGCGCUCUAUCACUUGCACAAACGAGCCAGCCAAACCGUCUUGAGGCACAACUUCUCAAAUUGGCAACGACCGAGACUUGAGAGUAAGCACGUAAAAGAAUCCUGCAAGUUGGCACAAACAACGAGUAUUUUAUUGAUAACGAAAAGUUAGACUACAAGCGAAAGGCACAAGACUCGACUUGGUCGGGCAUGGCCGGUGAGGGCAAAAUGAUCACCAAGACUCUACGCAUUUAGCGAAGCGGGCUCACUUAAUACAUCUCACCCAACCUUCCCGUACUACCCUAUAUUGGCAUCCACCCAUUUGGCACCCCGGGAGUACAAAGGUGUUCACCGAGGGGUACGUUUUUCCACUCCGCACACCUAUGGGAAAAUAGGCCGCCGACUCAUGUCCGACACGCGUCCGGCUCAAUUCGUCGCAUAAGCGGCCAUCGUUAGCGAAAUACCUAUGUCCCCUUGGAUGCGUAGCACAAGUGAACCCACGGGUAGCCAACCGGAUGCCAAUUUACAAGCAAUCCCCAUCUCAAAGAAGGAAAAUCCUAUGUCGACGUCGUGCACGACACAACAUUUAUAGACUCUUUACAAACUCAAUGUUAUUGACAAAGUCAGGGCCGUUGACAACUAAAAAGGACCCUGACAGACUCCCCCACUUGAUUUCUCGACGCCCUCGUCGAGGUCUUCAGCUUGUACCUCCAUGCGUGCUUUGUUUAUCCCGACGUAUCCGCCAAGGUCUUCUGCUGGUACUCCCUGAUCCGGUCUUCUUCAUGCCGAAGUGCAUCUUUACGCUCCCAACUGGCUUCAACCUUUGGCAGGUUCUUCCACUGGACGAGGAACUCCCUUUCAGCUACUCCACUAGGUAGCUUUCGCACUCUGUCCGCCAGAAUCUUGUCAACUCGCCUCUCGACUGAGGAAAUUGUGGGGGUGGGGCGAGUUGGGAUGUUCCUUGAGGGAUCUUUGCGGUCGGCAUUGUAGGGCUUCAGGCAGCUCGUAUGGAAUACCGGGUAGAUUUUAAGCCACGCCGGAAGCUGCACAUGGUAGGAGACCUUUCUCACCUUGCCCACGAUAGGAAAGGGGCCUUCAUACUUCCGGACCAAACCUUUGUGCACCUUUCGGAACACUCUCAAGGAUGCUGGUUGGAGCUUGACCAGCACAAGGUCGCCUUUGCUGUAGUCUCGAGGCCGCCUAUCCUUAUCGGCCCACUUCUUCAUAGUUCUUGCCGCCUUUUCCAAGUAGGCUCGGGCGAUCUCAUCAUUACGAUGCCACUCCUUGGCAAGGUGGUAAGCUGAGGGAUUGCUGCCUGUAUACCUGAUGACCAAAGUAUGUGGUGUAGAAGGUUGCUGGCCGGUGAUGAUCUCGAUGGGGCUUUUGUUGGUCGCAGAGCUCCGCUGCAGGUUGUACGAGAACUGGGCUACAUCAAGUAGCUUCACCCAGUCUCGUUGGUUGGCACUUACGAAGUGCCGAAGAUAUUGCUCAAGCAGAGCAUUUAUUCUUUCAGUCUAGCCGUCAGUCUGGGGUGUAGGCUAGUAGAGAAGUAUAGUUUGGAACCCAAGAGCUUGAAGAGCUCCGUCCAUAACCGCCCGAGGAAGCAGGAAUCCCUAUCACUGAUGAUGUUCUGUAGGACUCCCCAAUACUUCACUACAUGCUUCAAGAAUAGGUGUGCCGUUUCCUCAACAGUACAACUUAUGAAUGCGGGGAUGAAAGUGGCAUACUUUGAAAAUCGGUCCACUAUAACAAGAAUCGAACCGAACUCCCCCACCUUUGGUAGGCUGGCGAUGAAGUCCAAGGAGACACUCUCCUAUGGCCGCUCCAGCACUAGUACGGGCUCCAACAGCCCACACGGCUUCUCUCGCUCUACCUUGUUUUGCUGGCAUGUAAGACAGGUGCGUACAUAUUCUUCGAUGUCCUCCCCCAUUUUUGGCCAAUAAUAGGCCCUUUCCAUAAGGGCCAGGGUUCGAUGUACGCCCGGGUGGCCUGCCCACAGAGUGUCAUGACACUCAUGGAGCAGUUCUCUUCUCAGGUUCCUCGCCCGCGGCACGUACACUCGAUCCCCCUUUGUUUUGAUGAGGCCGUCCUGGAUCCAGAACCUUCGCACAUUGCCAUCGUCAAUCAGUUGCUUGAGAGUCACUAUCGUGGGAUCCUUCUCCAACCCUUCACGAAUCCUCUCUUGCAAAGUCGCUUGUACUUGACUUGCCCUCUCAUUGGAGAGAGUUUUAAGGGUAGCAAGUUCAGCAACUUGGUUACAUCAUCCUGGCUUGUACUCCAAGACCAUGUCGAACUCUGCUAGGAAGUCUUGCCAUCUCGCCUGUUUCAGAGUGAGCAUUUUUUGAGUCUGAAAAUAACUCAGAGCGACGUUGUCUGUCUUGACCACGAAUCAGGAUCCAAAGAGAUAGUGUCUCCACGCCCGGAGACAAUGCACUACUGUUGUCAUCUCCUUCUCAUGGGUUGCGUACCGCUGCUCGGUCUCGAAGGCUACAGGGUGACCAUCUUAUACGAGUACCCCCCCAGUAGCAUAGUCCGAGGCGUCCGUGUAAACUUCGAACGGGAGUGAGUGAUCAGGCAGAAGUAGUACUGGCUCGACACAGUUCCGGUGAGUUCACAAAAACGUAUAAAAUAUUUAAAUAACAUAUGAUUAUAUAACAAUUUCAUAUAUAAAAUCUUUUAAUAGUAGCAGUAAAGAUAGUUAUUAUUAAUAAUAACUAAAUUAACAAACUUUUAUAUUAUACUUUUAUAUAAAUAUUCUCGACAUCACAUGGAUUAGUCGAUCGCUAGUACGUCUAAAAAAUAUGACUCAUUAUUGAAGGAAAACCACAAAUCUCAUUUGGAAUCUGGAGGGUUCCGAACAAUCAUUGCCGGGCACCACGUUUUCCUGCCACCGUUAGGCAAAGAUCUGAUUCGCAACAUGUCCUCCAGCGUCAACCUCGGUAUCGGCACCGUUCCCUCUGGGCAUUGCAAGCACACCCGUGGGGUAUAAGUAGUCGUAUCUGAGGCAGAUCGUAUCCCGAAUUUUGAUAUGUCCUGUAACAGUAAUUGUUAACACAAUUGAUAAAAAAAAAGAAAGCAAAAAGCAAAAAAAAUUAAAUUUUUAUGAAUGAAAAUUUAGAGACAAAACAUAAUUCAAAUGAUUUUAUUCUCCUUUUUUUUUCUCGCUUAAAUGGUGUUUGUUAAAUGAAGUUCACCAAUGCUGGAAACUAAAUAAAAAGUGUAGAUACAUAUCAAUAUCAAUGUGAUGUUAUAUCGUAUAGUGCAUAUGCAGUGAAUAGACGUGCAUAUAUAUUCAAUUAUUAAAAUAAUAAAAGCUAAUUAAAUUUGUAAUAACAGUUCUCUUGUAGGAUAUCACACGUAGUCGAGACAACAUACUUAAAAAUCUAGGGAAAUAACAUCUAAAUUGAAAAAACAAUGCAACUACUUUUAUAUUCAUAUAUUUUAAAAACAACACUAGAAAGUAUGAAAUAUAACCAAACAUUCUGCAUAUGGAUAAUUAUUAAUUGAAAAAUCUGCAUUCCCUACAGCAUUUGAGUUUGAUCCAAGCACAGAAAGAAGAAGUUGAAAAAAAAAAAAAAAAAAAAAAAAAAAACACAAAACACAAAAGUUAGCGUGCAUAAUAUAAGAUUGUAUACACGCCACAUACUUGCAUAUGCAGUCUGAUUGUUUUUUAAAAAAAGAAAACUCGACUGAUUUGAUUAAAAUCGGAUCAGUUCACCGGCUCAAUAAUGAACUGACGGUUUGAAUGGUUCAAAAUAGUUUUUGGCUUACACGAUUCAAAAAAUUGAACCGAACAGCUUUGUAGGCUGGGUAACGAUUGGACCGGCUGAAAUUGCUCGACCGGUAUUUUAAAUAAUUCCAGUGACUAAGCUAUAUUUUGGCUUAAAAAUUAUACAUUAUUCUUAGCAAAACUCAUGUUCAAGAUGAUCUUAUGUUUUACAUAAUCAGUUUACCGCAAUAACAAACACAAUCUGGAUCUUACUUAAUAAAAUAUUUUACAAAAGCGAAGAGAAGAUUUAUUAACAAAUUACGCAAGCUUGCAGUAACAAAUUACUCCGAAAAGACUCUCAUCUUGAUACCGCAUCUCAUUUUUUCAUUCAAUUAUUAUUCUUAAAAUAAUUGAUCUAAAACUAUGAUCGAGUUAAUUUAAGAUUCUGUUUGUUAGUGCGUCCUUCAUCUUAGCUAAGCUGCAGAUAUAUAAUUGUGAGAGAAGAACUAAGGAAUUGGUUUGAACCGGAAUUUUGUAAUCCAUUAUCGGAGGAGUAUUGUCAAACGCUGGUUGCUUAUCAUAGGGAACACAAUCGAAGACAACUCCGCCAGGGCUCUGCACAAAUCAAAUAAAAAGAUCGAAACAAAAGAAAAAAUUUAUAUAGGAAAGUAUAUGAUCAUCACAACUAACUUAAUUACAAAAUAUUUGAUAAUCAAAUUAAUUUAUUCUUACUACGAUGGUUUUAACAACAUGUCUGCUUCUCCUAUCCAAGUAGCUUUGUAUCUCUGCUAACUCCUCAGGGGAUAUUGUACUUGUGCUUGCACCUGCACUUGUCGAACUCGAACUCGAACUCGAACUCGAAGCGCCAACACACGAAAGCGAAGAAGAAGAAGAAGGCAACAUGGAUACGCCUGCAGCAAAGCGAAAUGGACGUAGGAGAAUUGAUAAAUCAAAUCAUCUAGCAUUCCUAAAAAACAUGAAUCUAACUUAUUGGAUAUAUAUGUAUGAUCGAAGGGCUAGAUCGGCAAAUAUUUUCAUAGGCUUUUGAACUAUCUUUUUCUUUUCUUUUUUUUUGCAAAAAUCAAGAAAUAAAAAAGUAGAUAGAUAUUGAAAGCUAAAUAGUGUAAUUAAUUAGUAUUAUUAUUAUAUAAUUAAAUAAAAAUAGAGAUUAGAAAACCUUCUAUAAAUAAAAUGUUUGUAAAGUGUUUUUAAGCAUAGCAUUAGCAUUAUUAUUAUUAUAUACAUAAAAAUUAGAUUUUCUGAAUCAAGACCUUGGAAAGGGGGGGAAAAAAAAUCAAAAAACAAAAUCAAAAAACAAAAUCAAAAUACUUUUACAGAUAUCAUUCAUGAUCUUUGCAAGUAUAAUGCCUAGAUCGGUUAUUACGGGAGCUAAGAGCAUCUGUUUUCAUAAUUUUAAAUUUUGUUUAAUCUUUCAAAAUUUAAAAGCGAGUGUUUUUGAAAAAAAAAAAAAAAGAUUUCAAAUCAGGCAUAAAUUAAUUAUUCAGGUUUUAUCAUCGAGAGAGAGGGAGAAAGAGAGAGAGGGAUUUAAAGAUUUAUACACUAAAGAAAAAGAAAAAAAGAAAUAAUAAAUUUGAGCAAUAUUAAUUACCUCUUCUAAAAUCCAAGCACGCUUGAUUGUUUGAAGAAGAGAACGCCGCAACACCACCACCGCCACGUUUUAUAGAUGGGUUUGGUGGGGUUUGUUUUAAUCGGAUCGGUGCAACUACAACUCGAUUUUGGAUCCAUAAACCCGAAAACUAUUAAUAUAGAAUAAGGAAGGCAAUCCAAUUGGCUGGUCGCAGGCCAGCUCGUGAGCUCCAGAUCGACCACGUGAGCUCGCAAGGUAUAUAAUCUCAACCUAUCAAAAUCUAUAUAUUUAUCUAUAUCUAUCCUAUUUAUAUUCUAAUUUAUAUCUGGCAACUAAUAAUAAUAACUCGUUGGGCUUAAGCCACUCCUCUCGUUCAGGCUCUGACAUUCACGCCAGCCGUUCCUUUCGUUUGGGCCUUGACAUUCUCGUUAGCUCGGCCCAAUCACAUGCAUAGCUCUAAAUUUAUCAGAUGAUGUAAGAUCAAUCUCAAACUUUCGAUUGGUUAUUCGCUUUGCUACCAAAUGUAUCGAUCCGAUUAGCUAGCAAUAAUAGCUUAUUAUUAAAUUCAAACUACCGACUUAAAAUAUUUAAAUCAAAUUAUUACUACUAGUGUGUCCGUCUUUUAUAAAUCCACCACACUCUUUUACGUUAUUCGAUGUAGAAUUAUUGAGAUGUCACAUAAACUACACCGAUGUCUUACCAUGAUUGAAGUUGAGCUUUGCUUUUGUAAUUAUUGAUGUCUUGCUAAAGAAUUAGCAUUCUAAUUUUUAGUGGAGAAAAAAACCUUUUUUUGAAAUAAUAAUUAUUAUAUUCAAAAUAUACAUAUAAAUUUUAAUUUAUAUUAAAUUAUAAUUUUAAGUUUAAAUUUAUAAUAUAAAUUUUCUUAAAUUUUAAUUAUAUUUUCAAUAUAUGUUCGAUAUUUGAGUUUAGAUAAUUUUAGAUUUUAAAUUUAAAUUACAAAUUUAAAUAGUAAAUUAAAUUUUUUUAAACCAAAUAAUAAUAAGAAGUUGAUUUUGAUUUCAAAUCCUAAUGUGAACCAGACAAAUUAGAAAAUUCAUCAUUUCGAUUCCUAUUAGGAUUUGGAUUUCUAUUUUUAACCAAACAUGUCUUCCAUUAAAAGCACUCGGCGAUAAGCACGGGACUUUUAUUCAAAAUAAUUUUUUACCGUCUUUUUAUUUUAUCAUGAAGGUAGUAAAUGAUUAAUCACUUUUUACCAUCUUUUUAUUUUAUCAUAUAAUCCUAACGAUCACAUAAAAAUUUUAAUUUUAAUAAAUUACAUAAAAUUUUAACAAUAAAAAAAUCUUAAUAAUUUAUCCAUACAAUUCUAACAAUCGAACAAAAAUUUAAUAAUCUAUAUACAAUCCUAGCAAUUUUAUUUAUUUUUUAUUUUUCAUACAUAAUUCUAACGAAUUACAUAAAAAUUUUAAUAAAUCAUAUAUAAUUUUAAUAAUAAUAAUGUAAAAGAAUCUUAACAAACAAUAUUAAAAAAGGUGAUAAGUGAUUCACCGUUUUUGUAAAAAUUUAAAAAAUCGUAAAUUAUUUACUGCUUUUAUAAAAACGAUAAACGAUUAACGAUUCGCUAACCUUAAGAGAAAAUUUUUUCUUAACUCCUACAUAGUAAAAAAAAUUAUUUAGUCAAACAUUUUUUGAAGUAUGGUCAUCUAAUCAAUUAUAAUUAUAAAAUAUAUUUUUUAUAAGAUUAUUUAGAAAAAAAAAAAAAGGUCCAUAAUCGAUUGUGUUUGGAAACCGAUCAAAACAUAUCCCUCUAUAAAGAGCAGCGUAUUGCAACUUUGCAAGUUAUGCCGCCUUAAAUAAAUUAGGGUACAACGGGAAAAGCCUCGACGGGAGGAGCAUCAUCGUGAACGAGGGCGAGUCCUGCGGCGGCGGCGGCGGCGCCGGCGCCGGCGGUGGAGAUUACGGCUGCGGCGGAGGGGGAGGAGACGGACGCGACGGGGGGGAAUCGCUACGGGAGCAGCGUCGGAGCCUCCGAUGGGGACGGGUGGAGCAUGGUGAGACGCGGAGCAAGAAUUUGCAACCGGACCAGUUGUACUCUAAUUCCUCGCACGCUUCGCUCUUCUCUCUCUCCUCCGCUCCAUCCAUCAAAGAAGGUACGGCCUCAACUCAUCUCCCUCUCCCUCUAAUCUCUCUCUCUCUGUGUUGCGGUGGAGGAGGAGAGGGGUUUAUCUGUGUAUUAAAUUGAAGCAAUUGCGAUUUGCCUGUGAGUCGCUGUAAUAUCCCGGACUCAAUUUAGCAACCCGAUGAAUUACCUCAAUGAGGGUAAGGCUAAAUUGGGGAUGAUGAUGAGCUCUUAAUUGGCCUUCCUGAUCCAAUCUAGCCUCCGUUGAUAUCCAAUUGAGGAUCAGCUGGGAUUGGAGAUGAUGGUAAUACGUUGAGCUGAGGAUUAAGGUAAAGGAAUUGAGAAUAGAGAUAGAGGGGAAGAGAGAGAUAGGUAGAGAGAGUGACCGAGAAGAGUUGGGGAUACAGAGAGAGAUACAGAGAGAAGAGGGAUGGGGAUUAGAAGUAGAGAAGGGAAUUGGGGAAGAGAAAUAGUAGAGAAUAAGAACGAGGGUUUGGAGAAUAACUUUUGGGAGGAGAAAAUAGAUUAAUUCAUUUCCUUCAUGCCCUCUCAUUACAUUCUAUUAGCUAUGUAUAUUCUCUCUACAACUGGUAUUGAUAUUAAAGUAAACUAUCCUAUAAGGGCUAAACAGCAAUAUGUAAACUGGCUGAGAGCAGGCUGGACCGCGAUUCACUCGCAGGCUGGGCCUCCGCUGGGCUUGUUCGGUCCGAAGCUGUCUGGUAAACGGGCAAGCGGGUUACGGGUUCGCCUUCUCCGCACUAUCCAUUGCCGGCGGGUCUUGGGUUCGCGUUUUGCCUCCGAUCCGGAAAUCUGCCGAUCCGACCCGCAAGGCUUCCAUCUUCCCCAACCUUAGAUCCUGUCGGACCUCCUUCUCCCUUCGCGUUCCUCCUAUUUCCCCACCGCCCGUCUACUCGCAGAUCGCCCUCGCCGCCGAUCGCACCAUCGCCGCGGGGCUCAAGCAGGCCUGCGGCGGGUUCCAGAGCGCGGCCGGCGCCUUCGCUUUCUUGAGGGAGACAGUCGCUGGGAAGGCUGCCGCGGCCGCAGCGCCACCCUUCCUCGUCGCCCGCCUGAGUUCCGCCUGAACGCCCUUGCCGCCGGUUCACCCCACUGAGCUCGCUCCUUCACCAUUCUGCUGCUGCCACUUUUAAUUCUCCAUUUUAACUAGUAAAGUUGCUAUUUUUACUAUUCUCCCAUGCUAACUACUGCUACUACUACUUCUACCAUUUAUUCUUCAGGGUUGUUACAGCCGUAGUUUUAGCGCCUUAGAUGCAGAAGCUCCGAGCUGGGCCUGAUUUAUUACAGCCGUCCGUAGUAGUGAGCAUAGAAACAUUAGUUUUAGCUUUGCUGCCGUCGGUCACCGAUGGUCGGUUCUUGGAAAACACGAUAGACAGACAGACGGCACUUUUCCCACUAUUUUGGCCAAAUCGUAGUCACAUCAUGUUGGCAAUUUGCACAAUAUCGGGACCAAAGUAAUUCGUGCAAUAUCGGUUAACUGUGAGUCUGAGCAUUCCUUCGAUGCUAGAAUUGGAGCUAGAGAACUGCAAUCAUACAUGCGUCCUGUAGCUCUGCAGUCUUAUGUCCUUGUAUUCUUUGUUGCUCGGGCCGUCUUCUCUAUUCCUAGCUGUAGUUGAUCAUUGUCUGUGGCAGGAGGAUGAAUUUGGCGGCGGAGUCCCCAACGCCGUCUUCAAGCGGCAGUGACGAUUUCGCUGCGUUCCUUGAUGCAGAGUUGGAAGUGGCUUCUUCCAACUCUUCGUCGGACGGUGAUCUAGCUGACGACGAUGCUGAAAAUGACCUGCAACAGCCGAGGUAUCUUGUUAUGAACCUAUCUCUUAUUUCACAAUCAAAACAAUCUCUUCUCGUACAUAUCAAAGUAUGUUGAGUUGUACCUCUAUAUUAAUCAUAGAUUGCCAGGAUGGCAUCGACUAGCUCUUUCGUUUCACUUAGUUGGGGAAGUUAAUUGUUGAUUCUGACUACGGCAAAAUAUGAAAUUUGUUGCUUGAUUACGAGCUAGUACCGUACAGGGCCAAACGUGCAAGUUUUCUCCAAGCGAUAGCUGAAUCAUUUGUGACGGGAUGAUUUCUUACUGUUUUUACUACAGUUCGACUGCAAAACAGAUUUUAAGGAAUGUUGCAUGAAACAAAGAUUACUUGAGAAUUGCAUUCAUAUGGCUAUCAAUAGAUAAACAGAAUGAAGAUUGGUGGCAACAUAGUCUUCAUGUUGUGACUGUAUGGGUAUGAUAGAAAAUUUGUAUGAUUGGAUUGUCGUAAAACUGCUAUAGAUGUAUGCUGCAGGAGAAAUAAUCCUCUUCUACACAGGCUGUGCUUUCCAUUUCUAAUUAAAUUUUCCUGUUUCUGCAAGUGUUUUUUUUUUUUUUUGGUCUAAUCACUAACACAUGAGAAAACGUAGUUACUGUUUUGAAAUGUAUAUGCAGGACGAAGAAGCUGAAAGUUGAAGAAUUUGAGAGUACAAGGGAGCUGCACGAGAUGACAGAGGUGGCGACAAAUCGAGAAAAAACUGGUAUUGAUGACCAUAAAUAGAAAGAAACAAUUGCUUUUAUGCAGAAUUUUGGGACAUUAAUUUUACAUAUAAGAAGCAGCAUUUCUUCGUUUAUUAAGAACGAAUAUUUGCUUUUUCACAUAUUCUUCUUGUUUAUAGCAACUUAUACGUAUAAUAGAUGGUCGGUUAAACUAUAUAUGUGGCAUAUUCUGUAAUAGGUAUGUCGGAUGAAGCUAUUCCUGAUAUAUGCCCUCCACAUCCUGGAUUUUUUGGAGGAUUGUGCGUGAGAUGUGGGCAGGUAGAAGAUGAUGAUGCAUCAGGAACCGCUUUUGGUUACAUCCAUAAGGUAACCCUCCAAUUGAAUUCACACCUGAAAGAGUACCUUGGAAUUUGGAAACUUCUCAUAGGGUGUACAUAUUAACCAUUUAUAGCUUUACUAACAAUUCUUGCAAAACUAGAUUUUAGAUGCAGUGGAAUUUUGAUGUACUAUAAGCAUUAUCUUUGGUUUUUUUGGCAGGGUUUAAGGCUUGGUAGUAGAGAGAUUGACAGACUACGUGGAGCUGAUCUGAAGAAUUUACUGCGUGAAAAGAAGCUAAUUUUGAUAUUAGACUUGGAUCAUACUCUACUCCAUUCAACCCACAUUGCAGAUGUUUCCGCUGAAGAAGAAUAUCUUAUAAGACAAAUUGAUUCCAAGAACGGUAUUAACCAUCGUUUUAUUUAUGUUUCUACAUGAACGUUUUGCCUGCAACCUCUCUAAAUCUUUGGUACCCAAUAGCUCUCUCACUUAAUAUAUAGUGUCAUAGUGUAGUAUACUAUUUUCGUAAAUAACAUUGUUGCAUUAGUUUUAUUAGCUGGCAUUUAUUUUCUAACUUUUAAUAUCUUACAUGUGAAAAAUUGACAAUUAUCUCUCUCGUGAGAGAUCAAUUUCCGAAGAAACUAUAUGUUUAAUUGGUCUAACUAUGUUCGUUUUUUAAGUGAUUCAUUGAUUUGAAAUGUGCCUCGUGCUUUUGGUUUGCUUCUACGUUCUUUCUUGUGCUUUUGUCAAUUAUCUUCUUGAAUAGCUAAAAGAAUAGUAUAUUUCAUUUUUUGAGAUUUACGGAGACUUCUUUAAUUGGAAUGUUUGACAGAUGAUCCUGCCAGAAGCAUAUUCAGACUUGAUUCCAUCCGUAUGCUGACAAAGUUAAGGCCCUAUGUUCAUACCUUUCUAAAAGAAGCUAGUAAUUUAUUUGAGUUGUACGUAUAUACUAUGGCGGAGAGACCAUAUGCACUUGAAGUAGUAAAGCUUCUUGAUCCUGGGAACGUCUACUUUGGCUCCAAAGUGAUUACCCAAAAUGAUAGUACCCAGCGACAUCUGAAAGGCCUUGAUGUCGUGCUCGGUGCUGACAAUGUUGUGGUGAUUCUCGAUGAUACAGAGCCUGUGAGUAUGAUUGCUGUCUAAAAUUGUUCUAAGUUCUUUUUUGGCUUUUGCAAGUACUCCAUUUGGCCACCCUUUCUUUUGUUCACACUUCAAAACUUGCAUAUGCUAUUCAUGAAAUUAAUCUAAGACAAAAGUAAAAUCCGAAAAGGGUUAUUGUACAUUAUCCUGCAAAACUUGGGCCUUGAUAAGUUUUGAGAGGGUAUUGUACAUGAUCCAAUAGCACUUGCGCUAUUGACUGAUUGAUGACCCUAAUUGUCAGUUGUAAGUUCAAGUGCAAACCAAACCCUGACAUCAUCUGUUUAUACACAAAUUGUCUUGAUUAUCCAGAGCUAAAUAGAAUUAGGACUGCAUGUCUGGUCCAAAUUAUGAAUUGACUCAAAUUUUAGCUAAACUGACUCAAUUUUGCGCUGGUUUAUUGGACGUACUUCACUUCUGGGCCAAUUAACUUAUUAAAUCAUCUGGUUGUUAACAUCAUAUCUUCUCCAGUAAACAUUCAGUAGGAACUGAUUUAUGAACUACUUUUGGCAUCUCCUGAACAAAUUUAAGGGUAAUAAGUCUUAACCUCCUGCUUGAUACUUGACUGCUUUGUAAUAUUUAUGUAUCUUCACAAUUUGUAUUAAAUCCAAAAGGAUUUGAUGUUGUAGGUGUGGCAGGAGCACAGAGAAAACCUGAUCUUGAUGGAAAGAUACCAUUUCUUUGCAUCUAGCCUUCGCCAGUCCGGGAUCAACUGUAAAUCGUUAUCAGAGACUAAGAAGGAUGAAAGAGAGUCUGAUGGUGCGCUUGCAACCGUUUUAAAUGUCCUGAAGCGCAUCCACCGAAUGUUCUUUGAUCCAGUUAGUACCAUAAUCUCUGUUAUAGUUUUAUAUUUCGAUUCAUUCUUUCUAUGGUUAAGGUAAUCUGUCUUGAGAUGCCAUUGCUGCGUCCAACUUUGUAUUGCUUCCUUCACUACAUCGAGCAAGUGGAGCAACCGCCAUUGUUUGUUUGUUUGUUUGUUUGUUUGUUUGUUUUCUCCAGAAACUUUUCUUUGAACUGAAAUAUCUGAUUCUAUUGUUCUUGCUGUUUACCUCUCACAGGUCCUCAGAACAGAUAUUUCCUCCAGAGAUGUAAGACAGGUAAAACAGCAACCACGAGGAAUAUCUUGUAAAUUCUUAGUGUAGCGUCUCGCAAUAUUGUAUCAAGUCCUCCGAUUUGACUUCUUGGAGAGAAACUUUGGUUGGUUUAGACUAAAGCUAGUGCUCGGUGCUUGUCUCAGGACAGCUUUAAUUGACUUACUAAUAAUAGACUUUUUACAUUCUAAAUUUCCUUUAUUUGGAAUAAUACACUUUUAAUUAAUUGUACAUUUCAAAGGGUAUUUCUUUAUUACUACCUGAUUUUCUUAUCUUUUCUUCCCUUUUUUCAUUGUAGAUGAUCAAAAUGGUACGUCAAGAAAUAUUACAGGGGUGCAAACUAGUUUUCAGCCGGGUGUUCCCAUUAAAUUCACGCGUGGAGGACCAGUCGUACUGGAAAAUGGCCGAAGAGUUGGGGGCAAUAUGUUGCACAGAAGUGGACUCGUCGGUCACACAUAUCGUCGCAAAGGAUUCUGGAACAGAAAAGGCCCGCUGGGCUCUGCAAAACGGGAAAUUUCUCAUCAGCCCGCGCUGGAUCGAAGCGGCAAGGUUUUUAUGGCAGAGACAGAACGAAGAAGACUUUCCGGUCAACAGUGUAAAAAAAUGAGCGGCAAUUCAAAGUCUGGCUUCAGAUAUGUUCAGUAGGAAUAGGAAAUUAACCGUCUAAUCAAACUACUUUCAGAAAAAGCCCAUUUGAAGUUUUUGGUGGUAUUGUGUAUUUGUACUUUUGGCUAAUUAGUGUUUCUUGUAUUUGUGGGUGAAAGAUGAUUCCAGUUUAGUGGUAAAUCCAAGAGGAAAAAGCUGUAAUUGUUACUAAUUUUUUUCAUUUGUCAGGCUAUUUUCAGUAAGCUGAUAAACAAGAGUUUUAUGCAGUGUUAUGGACUAAUGCUAGUGCCAUGUAUUGCAGCUUUUUCACAAAGUUGUAUGUAAAGUAUUGUGUAAGUGUAUGUUGAGUUUUUUUUUCUGUGGCAAUUAUAUAUAUACAAUGCCAAUCAAAUACUGUUGUCUUGUAUUAGAGCGCAUGUUAGCAAAAAAAAAAAUCUUUAAUAUUAUUUUAACCUAUAAUUGCUAUGUUGUCCUUAAUUAGGCCUCUUAAAUCUAUAUAUAUAUACGGAUCAUAUUUUCGAUUUGAUUUUGGUUCUGUUUCAGUUAGGUUUGUUGGGUGACUCAAUUUGCUUUGAUUUAUCAAAUUAAUUUUUCGAAUUCGCUAUUGUUUUGUCAAGUGAUUGUUUACUUUGUAAUGUUAAUAUAUACAUAUGCAUUGUAGAGAAUAUUUAAUAUUUCUAGUAGUAAAUGGAAUUGUUUUGUUUUUUUUCACUUUUUCUAAUGAUAGUGCAUCCAAUGUAACAACUUCGUAAAGGAUAAUUUAAGUUAUUUGAACUUUUUAAAAACUAAAUUUUACAAUACUUUGACGUCAUUUGUCUAGUAUUUAAGUGGCUUCCAAUGUAACAAUUUGAAAUGUCCAAUGUAAGGUAAAUUUAGAACAAUUCGAAAUCCAGGUAAAUUUGUCAUAAAAUCAUAAAAUUCGAUAUCUGUAAAAUUCAAAAUAUUCUAGAUCAUAUAUUUAACGAAACCAUUUGUUGAUUUGGAUACCAAGAGGUGAAAGGAAAAAUUCCGGUUUACUUUUUGAAAUUAAAGUCUAGAAACAACUGUACAUACAUAUACUUUUGUUUGGUCCAACUGUAAUGUUGCACCGACCGUCCUUAGAGCAAAUGACAAAGGAUUCGGUGGUUGGUAUCCGAGACCCAAGUUCGAAUUCUAGUUGAUUCAUUUUUCCAGCUAAGUUUAUUUCUAAAUGAAAUAAACGAAGCGGGUAGCGUGCUACCUAUCUCUCAAAAAAAAAAAAAAACUGGAAUGUUGCGGGAAAUUAAUGAAUAGUCUAUUUUCGCGUCCAAAAAAAUCUGAAUUGAUAAUUUAUACGGUAAGCUAGACCUAGGCUAUUUAAACUUCUUAAAUUUUAAAUUUCGCGAUUAUAUAUAUAUACCUAUAUUAUUCUCCCUAAAUUGGGCACAUGAGAACAUUUCCUUCAUUAUUGAGUAUGGGCUCUAUUCCGAACUGGCUCAACUUCUCCACAUAUUUUUUUUAUUUUUGUUUAAAUCGAAGUAAUCAUUGUUGAGUGUGGACUCCUCCGAACCAGCUCAAGUUCUCUAUAUUUUUCUCUUUCUUUGUUGGAACCAAAUCGGAUUUUUCUUUUUUUGCUUGAACCAAACCGAAUCGCACCUCUGCAUUGGGCUGAACUUUUCCUUUUCCACUUCCUUGUGUUGUUAUCUUUCUUCAUCGGCAAGAUUAAUCCCUAGUCCUUCUCCUAUUCAUCACUGUUUCUAUUAUUGUUUUCUCUCCUUCCGUCACCGUCUUUUAUUUUUUCUCUAAUUAUCCAUCCGUCGCAUCGCACGAAUUACUACACUAGCACAACACUAUUUGCUCAAGUAGUCUCAAAAUUAAUAAUUUUUAGUGGCUAAUCAUAUAGAUAUAUAUAUAUAUAUAUAUAUUAGAGAGAGAGAGAGAGAGAGAGAGAGCUAAUCUCCUAUACUAUCUAUAGUACCGGAGCUCCGGUACUAUAGUCUCGUUUUCGAUCUUAGGGUAUUCAAAUCAACGAUCCACACCGUUAAAAUUGAUCUAGAAUAUUUAAAGUUUUUAGAAAUAAAAUUUUAUAUUUUUUCGACAUAGUUUACUUUAUGAUCAAACUAUUUCAAAAUUGUUAAUUUUCAAUGGCUACUAUGGCAAGUUUGGAGUUUAACGGUGUAGAAAAAUCUAAAUUUCUUCAAAUUUUGAUAGAAAUUGCUUUAAACUAUCUAGAUUAAGGUUAACAUUCUUGAUCUUGAAUUUAAAAAUUCUAUGCUUAAAUUUUAAAGAUUAUUCAAUUUUCACCAUCCAUUUUGACAUAAUUUAUUUACUAAAUAAACGAUGUCGAAAAAAACAAAAAUUUUAUUCCUACAAACUUCAUAUACCCUAAAUCAUAUUUAACGGUGUGGAUCGUUAAUUUGAGUACCCUAAAAUCAAAAAUAAGACUAUAGUACUUGAGCUCCGGUACUAUAGAUAUAUAGUAUAGUAGCCUAAUUCUAUAUAUAUAUAUAUAGAGUGAGAGCUAACUGAAGCAUCGAAGACGGAACCUUCCGCUGCUCCAGCUCUGUUUCGAUGUUGCGAUUUUCAAAUCGUCGAUCGGUCUCCGUUAACUUGAUAUAGAGUAUUUUGGAGUACGUAGAAAACUAAUUUUAUUAUUUUUCGAUCAUCAUUUGCCUAGUGAUCAAAUGAAGCUCAGAAAUCAUAAAUUCAAUGCCGUAGUGAGCCUUUGCAAGUUAACGGUGUAGAAAAUAUCCAAAUCACAUGAAAUUUUGAUAGAAAUUUCUUACUAUAUUAAAACAAGGAUCAAUAUCUUUUAUUUAAAAUUUUAAUAUCAUAGUUAUUAAUUUUGUAAGAUUUUUUAUUUUCAGCCUGUUGAUUAUUGAGCCCUUCGUUCACUUAGGCAAUGAUAUCGUAAAACAAUAAAAUUAUUUUUCUAGUACUUCAAAUACUCUAGAUCAAGUUUAACGGAGCGAUCGACGAUUCGAAAGUCACAACAUCGAAAACGAGCUGGAAGCACGGAAGGCUCGUGCUUCGAUAGUAUAGUAACCUGCACUCUAUAUAAUAUAAUACUAUAUAUAUAUAUAUAUAUAUAUAUAUAAAGCAAGACUGCUCCUGAGCCGUUUUCAAUGAUGGAAUUUUCGAAUCGAUGAUCGGCUCCGUUAGACUUGAUCUAGCGUAUUUGAAGUUUCUAAAAAAUAAUUUUUACGAUUUUUCGAUAUCAUUUACCUAGCAAUCAAAAGGAUUCAAAAUCAAUAAUUUUUAACGGCUGAAAAUCAAAAUCCUAUAAAAAGUUGUGAUAUAGUACUAAAAUUUUCGAUCAGAAAUAUUAAUCUUGUUGUAAAUAGUAUAAACAAUUUUGUAUCAAAAUUUUAUCUGAUUUGAAUACAUCUACACCAUUAAACUUGAAAACGGCAGAUAUCAACUAUUAAAAAUUAUUGAUUUUGAAUCAUUUCAAUCACUAGAUAAAUGAUAUCAAAAAAUCACAAAAAUUAUUUUCUAGAAACUUUAAAUACCCUAGAUCAAGUCUAACGGAGCCGAUCGUCGAUUCGAAAAUUUCAUCAUCGAAAACUGCUCAGGAGCACGGAGGCCUCAGUGCUCCUGAGAGCACAACAACCCUGCUAUAUAUAAUAUCUAUGUUCUUAUAUGAAUCCUCAAUAUCAAAUGAUGACGUGGCAAGCUCUCAUUUUUUUAUAUAUUCUUUUCUCAUCUUCUUCACCGUAGACCUCCUCACCUUCCUAACUCUUCUCCUCUUCUUUAACGUCCGCCUCUUUACCUUCCAAUAAUCUCACUUUCUCUCUCUUUAUUAUUGUAAUUAAUUAAUAAUUAAUUUUUUCUUCCCCUUAUGUCUCCAUUAAUCUCUUCGUUCUUCAACUUUUGCUAAACCUCUUUCACCCUCUCCCUCUCCUGUAAAAGUCGUUCACUUUCAUCACUGUUGCAUCGCGUCAAGUCCAUAGAAUCAGCAGAUCUCGUCGUGUAUUUGGUGGGGAUGGCAAUGGUGGUAGAAGACAAAGAUCUUGGAUGCGGCGGCGGCGGUAUCGACGACAGAAACGGAAGAGAGUGUAUGGAUAUAUAAUCAACUUACUACCGAUAGUAUAUAUGGUGAUAAUCAAGUGAUCAGAAAUUUUUUGUAUUUUGCUUUUUCUUUAAUGUUUUUUUUUAAAACUAUCCUAUUUAUUAAUUUUUUUCAAUUUCUUUUAUAGUUAUUUAGAUGUAUGUAAAAUUGUUAAACAAUAAGCUGAUAGAAAAUAUAUUUUUUUAUAGGAUUUGUUUUUAGAAUUAGAUGUUCUUUUGAAGGAUUUGCAUGUAUGUUAUAAAUAAUUGCUUACCCUAAUUUACAAUUUUAUAUAUACACUGAAUAAUUUUAAAAAAUUUACUAUUAUACAAUUAAAAUCUAAUUCAACAAAUACAAUUUAAAUCAUAUUAAAGUUUAUAUAUGAAAAUUU